rnacentral:lncRNA from 1 species
UUUUUUUUUUUUUUUUUGGGAGGUGGGGUGGGAGGGGGGAGGGGUGAUGGCCAUCCAUGUGUUACUUGCAGGCGAAGAAAUUGCGAGAUGUGAGUGAUGAUGAAAUUGAGAAAAUUAAAUUCGGCUCAAACUAUGGAAGUUCAUAUUUCUUAAACAUUAAAUCAAAUUAAGUUAGUUCCCCUCUAAUUUUAUCAUCAAGAAGAUAGUAAAAUGAUAUUUAUGCACCCAAAAAUGAAUAGUAAAGAUAAAUUAGAUAUUAAAAAUAGUUAAGAGGCUAACAUAUUUCUGUUUCACCUUCUUGUAGGUAAAAAUAUAACAUUUGACUCAUCCUUGGUUUGGGUAAUUAAACACGAAGAGGAAGGGGAACAAAUUAAGUGUCAUGCCAAAAUUAAAACAUAAGGACCUCAUCAGUUAAGGUUAUGUUGAAGGACGACAAUCAUUGGCUAAGGAGCCCAAGUUUAUCAAUGCAGAUUUAUUAAAUUUUAGGUUCCAAAUUCCAAUAUAUGAAGCUAUGGGUCCAAAUGCCCAAUUUUUCCACAAAAGCUAAGAUUGUGUAUUAGUGUAUGUGUGACAUUCAAAAUUUUUUUGACUGAGGUAAGGAAAAUCUUAGGUUGAAAAAAGAAAGAGUUUUAAACAUUUUAAACUAUCUUAAUAGAACUAAUCUCAAUAUUUUUCUCUUUCUCGUUUGUGUGAAUUAUUGAAUACAAAAGGUAAAGUUUGUGUGAAUUAUCGAAUACAAAAAGAAAAGUUUAGUGGCAUUUUGGUUACACGCGACGUUACUUUUUAGUACUAGUAAAAUUUGCAUGUGCUUCUCGAUCAAUUUUCGUUAGAAGGGAAGAGGAUAGCGUGUUGAUGUACAGAGAUUAAUAACCUAUGGCUUAAGUAGGGGAAAGAGGUGUGACUAAAAUCCACAAAAGAAGAGAGCAUUUCUACUGUUUUUUUUUAAUGUAAAAUUUUAUCAAUUUAAUCUCCUAAUUUUGUAAUUACCAUCAAUAGAAAAUGUUGCAAUCGUUUUACAAAAAACACUGGCACCUUAAAAGAUGGAAAAUGAUUAAGGAUUUUGCUAAUGGGUGCCCUUAGGGUACUCGUUAACGCACCUAAUAUUUAUGUAACCUAUCAUAUAUAUAUGUAUACCAAUAAUUAUUAUUUAUUUAUAUACACACCUAGUAUUUAUUUAUGUAACCUAUCAUAUAUAUACUUUCUCUAUUUAAUCUUGCCUACGCUUCCUUGUAUUUAUUUACUUUUUCUAAUUAAUUUUAUAUUUUUAAUAAUACGACACUUGAAACAUACAUUAACGAGUGCCUUAUGGACACCCGUUAGACAAAUCGAAUUAUUAAAAGAAGAAUCAUAGUACAAUGAAUAAAGUCAUAUUCUAGACUUGUCUAAAUGUCUAUCAACAAAAGGGGAAAGAAAAAAGACCACAAUCAUAUAAACUCAUGAGCAAAUUCCAGGUAUGCUUGAUCCAUGAAUCUGGUUAAAUGGGGUUGAUUGCACCGUCUAAUCCAAUACGCAGAUUUCAUGAUUGAAAUGUAAAAUGGUCUAUGAUUAUGUACAUGGCAUAAUACUCAUCAUUUAACAUCAUAGUAUAAUUUCUGUAACAGUGAAAGCAGUUACAGUUAAACUCAUGGGUUACGGAAUAAAGAUUACAUUCACUUUUUGGCUCUUGGUAUCAAUGUAAUAUUACUCUAUAUAAUAAGGAGAGAUUCUAAAGUCUGUUUUGGUAUGGUAUUACUAUUCUCAAGUUAAAUUUACUAUUAGAUGAUAAAAUAAGCAUUUUUGACCAUUAGGUUAUAAUAAUUUCAAAACUUUUAAAUUUAAACCACUAUCAUCAUUGAGAGGCACAUAUUGAAGCAAUGGCAUCCUGAAGGGACUACAAAAUUUUCCCAUAAUAAGCAUAUAAAUUUGAUGAAAAUUGCUGUCUGCUAGUAAAUGAGACUCGUAUUGAUGUUUCAAGAAUACAAGGAAAUUUAUGUAAUCUAAAAUUCAAGGUUUGCAAACAAUAUAGCCUAGUGCAUAACAUUUCCCUAAUCAUAUUGUAAAUUAAAAAUUCUUUAAACAAGUAGAUCUAAAUAUAUAUCAGGUGGGCAAAAUCAAGAUUUCAAAUGUGAAUAGCAUACGUACUAGGGCCUGUCCAUCAUUUGAUUUAGGUUUUGUAAAAUCUAACUGUGGAAAGUGAGUAUACAUAAUAAUCAAAAUUAGUUAAAACUACUAUUUGAUUAGAUUCUAGAUUUUAGACUUUUUUGGUUAUUUAAAAAAAGGAAAAAUCAUUCAAAACGUUCCUCACAUUUUGUUAAAUGAAUUUUUUUCGUAUUUCACUUUUAAAAUGGUAACUUUAAAUCCCUUACAAAAAAUCAAGUCGAUAAAAUUCAAUCUUAACCUAGGCUUUUGAUCACUUUUUAUCCUGAAUCUAAUCACAUGAUUCUACAUUGUCAUUUUUUUAGGCAAAAAGGUUAGAUUUCAUUUGUAAUUAAAUAAAUGGCCCGAUCCAUAUUUAUUUUUGCCCCUAAAAAUAGUAGGAUAUGACCCAAGUCAUAUUCAUUUUUUUUCCUAAAGUGGGUUUUAACCUAAUUCAUAUUUAUUUUUGUCACUAAAAAUGUGGGAUCUGAUUUUUUUUUUUUUUUGUACAUAAAAAAUGACUACAUCUGAGUCACGUGGUGAUCUUAGGCUAAAAAGCGGUAAAAAAAACAUAAGUUAGGACUAAAUUUUGUUUACUUGAAUUUAUAAGGGAUAUGAAAUUAAUAUUUUAAAAGUGAAGGAGGAAAAAAAUUUAUUUGACGAAAUGUGAAUGAUGUUUUUAGCGAUUUUUUCUUUAAAAAAAUCUAAAAUCGAGAUGAAAAACAAACAAGAACAUAAACAAAAAUUGAUUAUCAAAAAUUGGAAUCUAUAACUUGGUGAAAUAAUCAAACUGAGAAGAAGCACCAAAUCUGGUCAUACAAAAAAUAUUUCAAUUCCAAAAUGGAAACUUCAUUUUAAGAUAAAAAAAUAAAUAAAACUAUUAAUGGUUGGACUAUAUCUGAUCUUUUUGGCUCUACAUGACAUUGCCAUCAUCGAAUAUGCUACUAAAGUAUGGAUUUUUAGCUUUGCUAUUACAAUGAUUAAUUAUGCUAUAUAAAAACACAAUCAUCACGCGUGGUUUGGCAUAGGCUUUGGGCUCGGAAAUCUAAGAAAUGGACCCAGAAUGGGGCCACAGAGGCUCUCUUGUCAAAUCCUUUGUUCAAAUUAUGUAUAGGGCCGGAUUUGGCUCGUGGGAUUUGGCUCGUGCGUUGAUUUCAAGUGGCCCAUACUCAAUUCAGUUGAGAUCGACCACAUAAAGCAGGAUUAAGGUGGGAUUAAAAUUUGUUUGAUGAUAAGAUUACUAGAUUAGACAAGUACUGUGCAAUACAAAAAUCACCUUUUAGUUUAAUUAUUUAACUAAACUAUGGAUGGUCAUUUUUUGUUAAGUGCAUUAGCAAUUCAUAUUUUUUUUUGGGCAAGCAAUUUUAUAUGAUUUUGGCAAGUUACCAAAGAGUUUUGGAUUGCAAUUCUCUAUAGAAAAUUUUUCAUGCUUUUUGCAAACAAAUGCUCCGAUCAACGUUUUACCUUAUAUAUAUCAAAUUUUUAUAGUAUAUUUUUCUAUGAGAACCCUAACAAUAACAUUCCAAAUGGGUUCUUAUCUUCACAUCACUUCAAGUGGUAAAAGUAAUGAUAAGAUAACUAUUCAAUGUUUUUAAGCUUGCAAAGACCUACAAAAAUAAGAUUUCAAUUGAGUUAAUCUUAUAUACACUGAUAGUGUAUACAUUAUCAUGGUUGGAUACAUAAUACGUAUACAGAAUUUGGAUUUCAAAUUUAAAUUUAAAUUAUGUAUCAUGUAUCUAACCGUUAAAGUAUAUACACCGUUAGUGUAUAGAAAUUUUGGUAAAGCCAAUUGAGAUACUAUGUUUUUAAGUCAAUAAAAUAAUCAGUAUUGUAAAAUUACUCCCUAGUAAUAUUCAUAUUGAAGUUAAUUAAUGUAUGUUUAGAAAAGUCAAAAUACAUUUCCAAAAGUAUGACAGAAUUCAACAUCAAUUAGCUGCUCCCUACUAAGAAUUGUAUAUGAACUUUUUCUAUAUACACACACAUGUAUCAAAAUGGUUUAUUGGGGGGAUUUUUAUUGUGUUUGGGAGGGAGGGAGGGAGGGAGGGGUGGUGGUGUGGCUGUAGGGCAUUGACUAGUACAAGGGAGUAGUUGGGUUUCUUUUACUUCUUGAUCACGUUAGUUGAAUCAGAAUCAAAACAAAAGGCCGUGCUUGUCUACCUUUUUUUCUUUUCAAUCUAAAUUAUUUAUUUCUUAACAAAAAAUACUAGUAUCUAUAUGUGGUAAAAGCCUUGAACAUUGUGUGAACAUGAUGCAAAUUCUUUUUCUAAUUCCUUAAAAGUCAAAAAAUCCAAUUAUGCAAUAUGAACUUUAAAUGAUAAACCAUUGUAAUUUGAACCUGGGAAGUUUUUGAAACGAGAAACGUAAGCAUGGGAAAACCCAAGAAUUUUUAUUUCCAAUAAGAAAAAUAGAUAGAAAGGGGAAACAAAUAUCACCUUAGGGUGGGAGUGACCGCCCAACAAGGCUUUAAAAUUGAGGGUUAACUGAUAGUAGAUUAUUUGGAAUAUUUUUUUGAAAAAAAUAAUGUAAUACUUUUUUGUUAUGAUAUAUAUAAAUAAAAAGAUGGUUGAAAAAUAUGUUAAUAAUGCAAGUGAAUAAAAUUUGAUAAAUAAUCUACCAUCCAAACAAAUACUAAUAUAUUUAUAUUCUCAAGCUUUGACUAAAUUACAAAAAUCUAUCUCGUGUUUUGAUCAAAUUACAACCAAACCUUUUGAAUGGCAAAACAUUUAUCAAAUGCUGCUUAUGUUAAUUAUCAUUAGAUGAUGCUUGCAUCAGUAAAAUAACUGCCAAAAGACCAAGAUCUUUAUUUGCAAAUUGAGCUUAUGACAUUGAUCUCCCAUGAGGUUUGUCCAAAUUAUGUUGACAAUUCCUUAGGUUUGUCCGAAUGACAAAAUAAACCCUAUACUUUGUCCAAAUCAGUUCAAUGCUUUAAAUAGCUAAGCAUAUAUCAAGUGCCAUUUUCCACUGGUCAAUGGAAUUAAUUGAUACAAAAGAUUGAGAAUUUUGAAAUGCCCAUUACUUACUAAAAUUUUCCCCUUUAGGUUACAGUUAGUUUAAUCAAAACUCUACUCAUAUUGCAUCACUAAAAUAGCUGUUUCAGUCACCAAUGCAGUCUCUUAAACCAUUGCUGUUAUGUACUUGAUAUUAAAAACUUUUUUCCAUGUCAAUUUGAAAAUAACCAAACCUUGUUUUAAUAAAAUACUAAUUCUAAAACCACCUUCAACUAUUAAAAAUUAAGGUUUAGUUUUUGUACAAAGACACGCAUUUAGAAAUUAGAAGUAAAAAUCCAAGAAAGACACUUAUAUAGAAAUAAGAGUAAAAAUUUAAUAUUGAAUUAUGAAUAGAAGAUCAUGCAGUCUAGUUAAAUUUUAUUCUCCCACACCACAUUAUAUAUGUAAAUGCAAUUGGUGAUUGUUGUAUGGAAAAAUUUGGUUGGGAGUCUGUGUUAGUGGCCAAAUUGAGUAGACUCAGAUUUUUUUUUCUUAGUAGUUAGAAUUUGAUUUUUCCUUUUAUUUGGGUUUUACAUUUUCUUGGGUCGCAUGGAGGGAUUUUCUUAUAAAUAGUUGACAACCAAAUGGGUUUAAAUUGCAUUAUGGUCAAUUAUAAUUUGAACAAACCUCAAAGAGGUAAAUAUAGUUUCUUUGUAGAGGGAGCUUUGUCAUUUCUCUACUUCAAUUAAUUGGUUUUCGACGCUCUCAUUCAUAGAUGGAUGAUCAUAAUUUGGUCAAACACCAGAGUUUGUUUGAUAGUUUACUCAAACCUCAGGAGAGGUAAAUGUAGUUAACUCCAAAAUUUAUCUAUUCAUAUGUGCAAAAUUUCCCCAUUUCAAAAAUCAAGUUACACCUCUAAAAAAAUAUAUACAUUGAUGAAAAUAUUUUGACCAAUGAAUUUCAUUCCAAAUGUUUUUGUUGGGGUGGAGAGAUGGGGGGCAAUAAAAGCCAUAUAAGGUGACGGUAGGGUUUUAUAACCUUUAACAAAUAAAUUCUAACAUUUAUGCUACAUAAAUUACUUGAAGUAAAUAGUUUAUGUAUCUUUAAAUCACCUAAAGAUGAUAGAAGGUACUUAUAAUAUAUGGUACAAUUUGAAAAUUAAUUAGUCCCUUUCAUCCCAUUUAAUAACAUUGUAAAGAUAGUAACUUUAUUUCGCAUAAGCUAGUGAAGUUUUUUUUUUUUUUUUUGAGCUAGCUUUAGUGAAGAACUAUUUCAAGCAUCCACCUAUCUUCUAAAAUAACUAAAUAAAAAUAAAUAAAAGAAUAAUAACGCCCUCUUAAUGGAACAAGAAGGAAAUUAUUACUUCUUUAUUUUUCAAUAAAUCUUGUACACAAUAACAAUACCGUUUUUGAUAUGAUGCCCCUAAGAAGAAAGGUUUAAAUAGCUACCAUUGUCCCGGGGGCACUUGAGACAUCAUAUCAAGAUUAGCUGGAUGAUUGAAUAGGUAAAUGAAGCAGAUAGUCACAUGCAUAACGUAACAUGAUUCUCUAUUGUCUCUUUUCGAGUAUCUUUUGCAAUGGCUGGGCUCUGGGGAUUUUUUUUUUUUUUUUACUUUCUUGCCAUAGAUUAGAGCAAUACACUGCUGCUUCUAUAUAUUGCAUUAUUUCACCUAACAAUAUUAGAGAAUUUUUGUUAAAAAGAUAAAUAUCUAUCUUAAUAUGUAGCUCGUAAGAUUGAUUUAAUAAUCGGAAGAUAUGCAUAUUUAAAAAUUUUUAUCCAUUCAAAAUGGGGUAAUUCCACUUUACACUCUUCAAUUAUAUUGUGAUUCUCACUUUCAUUCCUGAACUCUAAAAUAGGACACUUUAAUCCCUAACCUAUCAACGCCAUUCCGUUUAAGUAUAGUUUUUAGUGUGAUUUCCAAAACUAAUGGCAUGCUAGCCAUUUGAGCAGCACGAUUGCAUGUUGCAAUGGCAUAUAUAGAAGGAAAAUCAGAUUAAACGAUAACAAAAAGAAAUUCUAAAAUUAGAGGGAAUAAAGGAUUUUAGGAUCCAAAGCUGAAAUUGAGAUAUAAUUUAGAGACUAAAGUGUUCCAAUUUAAUAUUUAGCAACCAAAGUGGGAACUACGAUAUAACUUAGGGAUUAAAGUGUUCCAGCUUAGAAUUCGGACACCAAAGUAGAAAUCUAUUUAUAGUUGAAGGGUGCAAAGUGAAAUUAACCUUCAAUCUGUAUCUUGUGUCCAGCACUAUCUCCUUCAGCAAUCUAUACAUUUAUGUUAAAAGUUUUAGCUAUGCUACGGGAUUUCUUAUUUAAAAAAAAAAAACUUAGUUAUGUAUAUUAAUGGCAUUUAUUUUUCUUUCUUAAGUGAUUACUUGUCAAAUUUCAUCAAGAGCUCCUUUUCUCCCAGGUUGAAUCAGGGAUGGGCUUAUUGGUCAUUAAGAGACAUGCAUAAGAUAGAAAUGAUUUUUUACAAUUAUUAACUUUAACAGUCAAGUAAUGAUCUAAUACUAAAAGGCAAUUAAGUGAGUGAGAAUGUCCUAAGGCCUUACCGACAUUCCACCUCAUGAUGCUUAAUUUGUUAAACCACAUUAUCUAUAAUUUGUUAUUCCAAUGUGGCCCUCUUUUAUAGACCUAAGUAAAACGAAAAGCCCUUUUCUAUUCAUGAUGCUUUGAAUAUUCGAUCAUUUGCAAAAAUCAAGAAAGAGACAAAAAUAAUCCAGCUUUUAACACUAAACAUCUGUUAGUGGUAGAAGUCAAUUAUUACUAUUUUUUCGAGAAAAUUCAAAAAGAAAAAUUAUUAGAAUAAUGAAUAGAAUGAUCUAGCCACCAAAAAGAAUGAUUUCAUUGGCUUACAGCAAGUUUUGGCGCCCACCCUUGUAAUGAUGCCACUAUUAAGUUGUUUAUGCUACUUUGAGCCUUGGAUUAGGGAACCGAUUGAGCAGAUAAAUGAAUUAAAAUCGUCUAAAACGAAAAAAUAAAGGUAUCUUAAUUAAGGAGGCUGUCAGGGAGAAACAUCUCAAGAGAGUCCAUUAAAGAGUCCAAUAUAUAAGUCAGGAACCCAAUUAUGACCCAAAAACUUAAGUUAUUAGGUUUUGGAUCCUUACUUACAUAUUAAUCGCUCUUUCUCCAUCUCUCGAACCAAUGUGGGACAUAAUUCUUUAUUCAUGAAUCUAACAAAUCUCCCCUUCCAUGAGUAGUUCCCAUAUUAAAUCCAAAUUUACAAGUCCUUCUUCGAGCCCACUUUAAUAUUCAACGCAAGUCCACUUUACCACUUAAGAUCACAUCUUUUCCCAAUCAUGGACCCACUCUUCUUUAAGAUCUAAACUGUAUUCUGGACUGUAUUCUCUAUUCUGGACUCCUGCCAACCUUUGGCUCUUUGAUCCAACACCAACCGGACCCUUGCCAAACCCAUGGCGCAUCUAGUCCAACACCAACCAAACUCCUUAGCACUUUGGUCCACUAUCAAUAAGAGAAUUUUCACCGAUCCAACUCUGAGAAGGAUUCACUUGCCCAUGAGUAGUCUAAUCUUGCAACCUGAAUCUCUGAUACCUAUUUAUUCGGAAGAAACAUCUCAAGAGAGUUCACUAAAGAGUCCAAUAUAUAAGUCAAGAACUCAACUCUGAUCCAAAAACUUAAGUUAUUAGGUGUUGAGCCCUUACUUAUAUAUUAAUCGCUUUUUCGACAUCUCUCGGACUAAUGUGGGACAUAACCCUUUACUCAUGAACUUAACAGAAGCAUUAGCCAAUGACAAUUGGUUUUGAAUACAAUUAGUAAUAUCUCAAAUAGGAGCCCUUUCAAAUUCCAAAAUGAAUUCAAAUAGAAGAAACAUGCAAAGGUAACAUUAAACACACUUAGACUUUUCUCUAGAUGGGGAGUACAAAGUUGUUUUCAUUGAAUCGACCAUUUAACUCUGCAAAUCCAUUGAAGUUCAAUGUAGAGAGUCCAAAAUAAUUGAAGGGAGACUCCACUCAGUUACCUACAAAAAGAUUUGGUUCACAAUUUCACAUCAUUUUUUUCUUCUUUGGUUUAUGUAUUUUUUACAAUACCUCUAUUACUCAUUUAAAAUUGGUUUUAUUGAAGAAACAUUAUUUUAUUCCCCCAUUCAUUUUUAUUGAAAUAUCAUAAUAGUGUGAAACAUUAUAAGAUUGGCUAGCAGGUGAAUUCGAGAAAUUUAGUCUGCCAAAUUCAAAUUAACGAAAAUGAAACAUGUUGCAGUGGAAUGCAAAUAUAUUGUAAUAAUAUUAAAAGAUGUUUGAAUUAAUAGAGUAUUUUCUUAAUAAAAGUUAUUUUUGUUUAUAAACUAACUUAAUUACAUCAAACACUAUGAGACAAUGCAAUGAGGUAAAGCUCAAAUAGGAAAAGAAGCCGAGCAACAUAAAAUUGCAUCAAUACAUAUAACUAUUCAAAGUAUAUUUUUUUACUUCUUCCUAAAAGUAAGUAUAAAUUCUUGAAGUACUUAGGGCCGUAAAAUUUUAUAUUUGAUAAUUCUAUACUUAAUUAACUCUUAAGAUGUGGUUGGUAGUGUAUUGUUGAACACUAGUGCAACCAUAAUGUAACCUUGUCCUAAAAAUAUGCAUUAAUGUUAUUCAAGGAUGGACGUUCAUCAUUCAACAGCGUUAAAUUAAGUAGACAAAGUUUAUGUUUAUGCUUAAGAAGUAAAAAGCAGAGGUUAAAAGUUUAGGAUUACAAUCCUGUCAUCCCUAAUAUUUUGAGGGUAUAUAUAUAGAGAUAAUGAAAUCAUUUCAUUUACCUUUAACACAAAUAGGUGAGCCAAAUUAAAAUUGUUUUGGAUUCAAAUCUCCAUUUUCCUCCCCAGUUCUUAAAUCUCAUCCUUUACUGACUAAAGAAAUAAUAAAAAAAAAAAAAGCCAAAUACCCAACAUAGAUUAAUAGCAUGGUAUGCAUUUCAAAGAGUUUAUAUUACUCUACCAUAUUUGAAUAGAUCCAAAAACACAAACCAAAAAAAGAAAAAGAAAUUUCAUAGUACCUUUUUAAUUUUCAAUUUGCAACCCCUAUAAAAUUUGUUUGGUACUACAAUGUAUUUAUGAUGUUCAACAAAUUAGUUUUGGAUAGUGCAACUUUAUGCUUGCUUUGCUGGCCACCAUAGCCGAAUUCUUUAAAAAGAUGAAAGCGAAAAGCCUUCGUGAAAAAGUUACAAAAACUCGGAAGUUUGCUCCAUAAAUCCCAUGCAGGCUGUCUUAUAUUCCCAAAUUUUUAAUUCCAUGUAUUUCAAGCUCGUCUCCUCUUUUUAGGCUUCAAGUUACACGAAUGGAUAUUGAUGAGCUGGUAUGUUUUGCUUUAUUUUCGCAAGAUUUGGUGCAGUAUCUCUUGAUUUUAUUUUUCAGUGAAGACUAAAGUGAUGCUGAGAGGAGCAUAUAUAGCACAUCAAUUGGAGGUUUAUAUUGUAAUUAUUUAAUUUAUAAUUACUUUAUUCUAGAAGUAUUUCAUCGAAUUGUUAGAAUAAAUUAUCUCAAACUACAAAAAACUCUCAGCCUGGUACAAUUCUUAAAUGUGAUCUUGAAAAUAGAAAUUUGAAGAAGGGAAAUGUUAUUUGUAUUCCCAUUUUUGUUAAUUACACCCCCAUUAUCGUAUAGUUUUCAUUUAUUAAACUAUAUGAUAAAACAAAUGGUGGAAGUGCAAAAAACAAAAAGUAGAGUGCAAAUAACAUUUUUCUUGAAGAAUUGGGAUAGUAAAAUUUUACUAAUAAAUGUGAAUGUAAACAUAGAGUAUAGAGUUAAUUCUACUUUGCACCCUUCAACUAUUCCCCUAUUCCACUUGGUCAUCAAACAUCAAAAUAGGACAUUUUAAUCCUGAAAAUGUAAAAUUUGACCCGCUUCUAUCAAUGAUUUGAUAGAAGUGGGACAAAUUUUAGACUUGAAUGCGAUAAAAUUUUAUACUUGAUAGAUUAAAGUAGGAAUAUUUUUAUUUUGUAGAUUAAAGUAGGAUAAAUUUUAUACUUUAAGAACUAAAGUGAAACAGAUUUUAUACUUAAGGAACUAAAGUAUUCCACUUUAAAGUUUAGAAAUCAAAGUGAGAAUUCGGAGGUAAUUGAAGGGUGCAACGUGCAAUUAGCCCUAGAAAUAAUUAAAUCACAUUAUAUCGUUUUUGUUUUAAUGGAGAGCACCAAUUUCAUAUAACUUUUUCAAAACUUUGAUCUCUAUUUGCUAAACAUUGGAUGCCAGCAAAAGUACUUUUUCCGCACGUAAUAGGUGGCAGCGAAUUAUAAUUGCUCCUAGCAGUUUUUUUUACCUCAUCAUGAUAUUCUUGGUGUAGGAAAAAUCAUGAAGUAUAAUUACGGUACCCAAUUUCUCUGAUAUCAUUACACAAGAUAUACAGUAGAAAUUCAUUGAUGUGCUUUUCUUGGGCUUUGUUAGCGAAUAGGGCUUUAGACUUUUAGUAAAAGAUAAAUGUGACUUUUUUAAAUUUUCUUUUGAAUGGAUGUGAAUUAAGAAGAGAUGAUUUUUCUUACUAAAGAAAUCACUGAUAAACAUCAUCUUUUUUCUGGAUAAUAGGCUGGUUUAAGUGCUUUGAAAACUUUAUGGUUGCUAUGAAAGUGACAGUUAAUUAUGGGUAGCUAAGAGUCAAUUUGUUGUUGCAAUAGAACAAAUAUAUUAAAAUAAAAAAGAUCCAAAAUCAUUUUGUAAUUUGAAAAGCACAAAAUACAAAUAAGUUUGACCAAAAAUAAAAAUUGGUUCCAUCAUUAACAAAAAAAAAAAUUGUGAAAAAUAUGAUAUAGGUAUUUUAUUUUUGUUUGGUUGAUUCAUUUCAAAAAGAACUAUGACAUCUCCAGAAACAAAAAGAAUGAGUGUCUAGUCAACUUAAACAUGUUUCAUCAACAGUUUUGGUUUUUUUUUUUAAAGAUAAUUAAUAGCACAAAAGAAAGUAAAUUUGUACAUCAGAAAACAUCACCACAAGUUUGUUAGUUAUUCCACCAAAUGGACAAAUUUUACCACAAAACUAAGCAAGCAUCUUGUGACUAACAACUGUUAUGACUUGGUCGAUGCCAUGAUAUGAUCAUAUAACAACUUUUUCUUCUUCUUCUUCAUUUGUGUGUAUUACUGUAUUGCAUUUCAAAUACUGGAAAACUUAUGAAGACAAUUGCGAAAAAAAAAAAUAAUAAUAAUAAAUAAAUAAAAACUUAAAAAAAAACACUGUAGGAAAGUACAUAUCUUCAUCCCUAUGAAAUGAACAGUUGUGUACGUCAAUUUCUACCUUACAAUGAGUACAAAAUUAGGACUUUACGUGCACAACUGCAUCACAUCAUAUACGAUAUAUGUUCAUAUCAACCCCAAUAAAUGGCGAGGUACAGACCAUUGAUUGAUAUACUAUGCAAUACUAAAACACCAUAAUUCACCAUAUCUAUAACGAAAUCAUUGGAUAUAUAUGUUCAUCAUUUCAUCCAAAAUUAAUAGCAAGGGAAAUUUGAGCUAUCAUCUAAUCUAUUUUUUGAUCAUCUAAUCUAUUUGAUCAAGCAUAAUAUGACAUUCAUUGCUUAAUAAGAAAAGAAUUGCAAAAUAGAACCAAAUAAACUCGUAAGAAUAAAAGAUUUUUGGAACUAAGGUGAGUUUUUGGAUAUAUCAUAUCCACUAUGGAGUGUAUAUAGUUUUAUUUACAUCAUGAAGUUCUCCAAAACCAUAUGAAGAACAAAGGGAUCCAAAAGGAAAAAAGAGAAAAGGAUAAACAUCAAGAAAGAUAACUAGUUAAGUUCCUAGAUUUGAUGCAAACCAAAAGUCUAGGAAGUAAGCCAAAUUAAUGGCCUUGAAUAUUUUUUUUCUCCAUGAUUAUGGAGGAGAAUCUGGCAAAAUAAAAUCAACCUCGUUCACAAAACCUAAGACAAACCUUGAAGUUGUCAAAGCUAAUAAUAUCCCAUGAUUUGUGCAUUACCCACCAGCUGACCAUCAUCUUCUUUGUUCUAAAAUAAAAGGAGAUCAAAUAAACAAAAAUAUACUAUAAUUUCUUCUCUUCUUCCUCUUCUUCUUGAUUCUCAGGGAUAUCUCCAACUUUGUAAGCCAAUCUCGUUGUGUUUUCUUGAAGGACCUGAGGCUGGAAUAGGGAACCUUUUGGGCAAGGAGUUGAAAAAGUGGCCUGAAUUCUGAGAUUUUGGGUUUAAUUUGAAGGCAUUAGUGCUUCUGGAGCCCUGACUAUGUCCAAUAAUGGAGAAGAAAAUCAGCACUACCAGCCAAAGCAGUUGAAUUAAAGGUCUACUACAGUGGCUCAUUUUGCGGGACUGUUUGCAGAAAAUUAUGCAAACGCAGACAGAAGGACAGUAUUCAGAGAAAGGGAAGAAGAAAUACAGUGCAACUUAGUCAGCUCUGGUGAGUUAUAUUGAAGGGUUUUGACGAGAAAAAAGGAGGAUGAUCAGCAAGAAAGCAGAAAACAAGGACAAAUUAAUUGAAGCCUGAAUAUUGAAUAUGCUGUGUAGUAAUAGAAUAAAAUUAAGCAGUUUCUGGGGUCUGUGUUUCUUUGUACUGUGUUGUGGAGAGAGAUGAAUGUGAUGAGUAUAUGACUAGAUAGCUUUGAGGAAAUCAGGAGGAUGGAUACUUCUAAUUCAACUGGUCUCGUGGCUAGUGGUAAUAUCAGAAGCAGAAAGUUGAUGAAUUUGAAAAGGUAGUAAAGAAAAGCUUUUUUGAAUGGGUCUCAAGGGGGAGUUGGGAAGUAGAGGCUGUAGGGAAUUAGAAAACAAAAGAAAAGGUGACAGGAAAAUAAAGUAGAGUAGGUACUAUUUGUAGUUCUCUUUCUUCUCUUGAAAUCUCUUUGUCAAAUGCCAAGAAAAGAAAGAAAAGGAAAGGAUUGAAAGAUAAGAAAGAAAGCAGGAGAGGUAGGGUUAUGUCAUCUUAAGGUUAGGUGAGUGCUUGGUCCCAGUCCAUAUUAAUGGCCAACUAAGGUUUUGGCACUGUUGUUUUAGACCCCCAUAACAGGAAAUCUUGUCUCCUUUGCAUAGUUCUCUUUUCUAGUCUCUGUCAUGAUCUCUCUUUCCCUCUCCCUCUCUUUUAUUUAUCUUCACAAUUUGCAUUUCAUGUCUAAUUAGUAAUAUUUACUAUUUAAAUUUAUAUCCUCGCAAAGCCACAAAUAGUUGUCACAACUUGUGGAAGGAAUUUGAAGUUUUGGUCAUAAGACAAGUGCAUCAAAAAAUCUCCAAAAACAGAGAAUUAUUUAAUUUGCAUAACGUAAGUUAGUGUCACAAGAGUCUACAAAGUCUCCUAACUUUAUAGUAGUUACAUCCCCCUCUCCCCCUAGUGAGAUUUUAAUGUUUUAAAAUAUAAUACCACAAAGGGAUUUGUUUUUACGAACAUUGCUUUGACUUGAAAAAAGUUUUUCACCCUAGGGUGAAAAACUUUUGCACAGCUGAUAAAUUCUUAGAGUGUUGCUAAUUUGCAAUUUAAUUUUUUUCAUUUUUGACAAUUUAGAACCUAAAGUUCUAUUUUCUGCCACUUUAAUCCAAUUAAAUCCUAAUCAUGAAACAACACUUGGGUCAUUAAUAUCAUCUAUUGACUAAUAAUUAGACUAAUUACGCAUAUCAAGAUCGCUAUCUAUCUUUAAUUAUUUAGGACUAACGUUCUACCCAAGUGCUCAAUUCACACAAGUAAAAUUUAUAUAUCAUUUCAAAGGAUGAAGAAAGAAAAGCUUAACGGUAAAAUCAAAUAGUAAAGUGGAUGGAGUUACAAACUAGGAAAUGUUGAACAACAUACGUACACCUUCCAAUUUCCUUCUACCAAAUAUUUUUAGUUUCUACGUCUUGGUUCUGCACCCCACGCCACUCCAGUCUCCCCACCCCCCACCAACAAAACACACAAAAAAAAAACAUAGUUUAAAAAUGAAAUAAAAGGAAAAUUGGAUCCACACCGGAGGAGCAGUUGGGUGAAGACUGAACAGUGCUAUGUAGGUUAUAGGGUGAUGGGGUUGAUGAAGAUAGAGGUACUCCAAUAGUAGUAGUAGAGUACAGCAGAAGCAUGUACGUACAGGAAAUAUAUAUGGUAGGAGGAAAGGACGGAGAUUUGUUUACUUACUAGUGAUACUACUGUUUCUGAGGAUUCAGAGGGCAGAGUUCCCUUAAUUGAGGAAUGGGCUUGUGGGGGCGCCUUAAUACUCAAGGUCGUGUCUAUUGUCUAUUGUCUAUUGCGUUUCUAUGACCCCACUUUUAUAUGGCAAGUGAGCAAAAAGAUGUCCAAUUCCUUCACAGAAAUCAAGCAGAAAACGCCGUGCGCACGCUGAUGUUCCACUUCCAUGUUUCCAAUUCUACCAAGAAAAUUGUUAUUUAAAGUGAUAUAGGGGCCUCACCAAAUUUUUAGUCUCAAUUAUGCCAUGAAAUACACUAUACACUAACUCACUAAACAACAAAUGCAACCCAUUUUUAGUCUUGAAUUAUUAGAACGAUUUGAUGUAUGUGAUGUGAAAAAUAAUUUAAAAAUAUAUUUACGAAAAAAAUAAAAAUUUUUCUGUGAAAAACUGAAUUCAAAAGAAGACCACAUAGCAAUAUGCAAAGUACGCUAAUAUAAAUUACUCAUUCAAAGUUAUGUCUUACCCUUGAUCUCACCUAUUCAAUUUCAAGUAACUUUUGCUUGAAUUGUUAACUGUAUAAUACAAUUGCUUUGGAAAUUGCAGAGAGCCACUCUUAUUUAAAAGGGCAAACAAGUUUGCAGUCCUUGUGCUAUUAUAUGCAAAUUCUAUGCUAUCUGUCUCAAAAUCAAUUUAACAUAAACUAAAGAAGAGUCUUCAAUUGAUCACAAGUUGUCUGGUCUAUUUAAGGGUCGAUCUAUAUAUAUAUAUAUAUAUAUAUAUAAAAAUCUCCUCUGAUUGUAUAUGUAAUGACCAUUCAAUUUGUCCUAGAGACAAUAUUCAAUUGCAGUAAUCUGUCCUCUCUAACUUUUAUUCUUUUAGGGCACUACUGCUAUACAAUGCUCUGUUGUUACCUUUAAUUUACUAGUUGCAUGUGUAAAUGAAGUGAGAUUUCCUUCCCCUUCAAGGCAAAACUUUACAGACACACACACGCAUACCAAAUUCACAUUUUUCUUUCGAAUGAUAAUACAAACUUCCAUAACUCCUAGGGUAUAGAUGCAGAUACCUGAGAUCAAGCAUGGGGCAUUAUGAGACAAUUUGUUUGGAUUGAGGUUUAUUUGCCAAAAUUUAUUUGCUUACAUCAUCAUUGCAAUUUCCAACACAUCUUUUUAUCUUCUCAAUUACCUUUUUAUCUCACAUACAUCACAUCACAAAAAAUGCUACAGUAAAAAUAUCUCAAAUAAUUUACAAUCCAAACAGAGCUUAGUAGCCUUUAUUUAUUUGAAAACAGUUAGAUUCUAAGAAGAUUGGAUUUGAUUACUCAAAUGCUACAAUGGUUACAACCGAGAAACUCGCAAACAGCCCACCAGGAGAUGGUGACUGACUGACGUAGCAGUGCAAGUUGGCAUUGAAUUUGAACCUUAUGAUAUUGACUGUUCGUUUGACGAACAGUUCUCUACAACUGGGAUGGAUGGAGAAAUGAGAUUCUGAAUCACUCAACCGAUCCAAAAGGGCUUCAAUAAUUGUAAUAAUGACAUUUCAUUUGAUUAACUCAAGUUUCAUCUGUUUAUCAUUUUCCUUGAUGGACGUAUUUCCCAUCACCAUUUUGAGAUGUUGUUUUCUGCCUAUCUUAAGAUUGGCAAACUAAGCGACACGAUAUGGUAGUACUCCAAUUAUGAUAGAAAGGCUUAUCAAUCGAAGUUUCAUGCAGUGUUAGCGUCGUACAUCCAAACUCAUCCGAUUUUUUUCACAAAAAUGGUUACGUUUUCCAUAAACACAUUUCCUUAUUAUCUUUUUACCUUACAUAUAUCAAAUCGUUACAGUAAAUUUUCUACAAAAAUUCAGAAAAAUACAAUCCAAACGGGGCUUAGAGGCUUACAAGAUCCUACAACCUACAAAGUACUUUUCUCUAUACAAUAAUAUACUUUAUAUGUGGAUAUUAAUAUUUUAUAGUGCAAAAUCAAUUGCUGAAUUGAAGCUAUUUAUACCAUAUAAAUAUUUGACAUAAUGAAUUCAAGUACCUGCACAUAUUUAAUCCAGGUGGUUCUUUAAUUGCCUAGUUCCAUGUGUGUACCAUGCUAAGCUUUUUAGUUCAUUGACUUUAAAAUCAGUUAUCCGGAUAAGUUAAACUACUAGAUUUAGUAAUCAUCUAGAAGGUUUUGGCCUAAUUAUAAUGAAUUUCUUGGAUAAUGUCCUAUUGAUUUAUGAAGGAAACUGUAAUGAACAAAUUGGGUUGAUUGGUUGGUACAUAGUUUAAUGACUAAAAAUAAGCAAUUCAAAAGUGCAAGCUCUAGAAAAUGUUCAAAGACUUUUUUUGAGUGAUUUACCCUUUUAACUAUUGUACCCUAAAACGGAGAAAUACAUAACAUCUAUACCCUUUUUUGGCUGUAAUAAAAUAUGACAUCAAUAAGUGGUCUAGGAUGUGCCACCAUAAUAAUUUAUUACAUAUUUGAAAGUGACAAAGAAAAUUAAAGUUGCACUUUUAUUUAUUUAUUUAUUUUUUGAGUGUUGCUUCAAGCACUUAGAUGAUUUUUAUCCAUGUUAGACUUUUAUGUAAAAGCGACAGUGCAACUAUUUCCUCUGGAAAACAGUUGACAAGGACCCCAUAACUGAUGACGCGAGACUUGGAAAAAAAUUUCUUGCAUCUGUAUUUCAACAACAUUUUAAGUUGCUUCGUCAAAGAAUUUAUUGUCUUCUUUGACCUUAAAUAGUACAGAUAAUGUCGGUAUGAUUUGGAUAUAACUAGCGACAACAGCACGCGGGUUUAGGCUGACUUUAGUUCUUUUUUUUUUUUUUUUAACCUUCUAAAUGAAUAAAACUCCAAUUCCAAAACUUUGCACAAGUUAUACCUAAUAAUUCAUUUCUAAAUACAUUAUUGUUAAGGUUUCUUUGCACGAGAUUCCAAGCUCAAAAGGGUAUUCUCCUUAUUGAUCAAGCUAAUCAAGAAAGCAGGUCUUAGAGAAAUCUACUUCAUAAAAGGAAAUUGAAUAAUGUGGUGUCGAAUUAAGAGUGAAAUUAGUGGUUCUUCAUAUCAAUUUACAGCGAUAGAAGGCUUUCUAAAAUGUUGAGACAUUUCAAGUCAUGGGACUUUCAAGAUCUGUAGAAAAAUAGGUGUCAUCAGAGGUUCCUCUGCCUGUCCAUCAGAUGCUAACCUUUUGAUAUGAUUUUUGAACAUUUUCUACAAACUCUUGCUUCAACACGAAUAAUAGAAAUCAAACUCUUAUACAGUUUCAUUUCGGUGAAGUUUUAGCUCAAAUCUCACUUUUGGGGUCUCAAUAUACCAGUUACUUUCACAAUUAGAUCAAAGCCUUAUUGACUCAACACUCCUCACUUGAUGGCUUCAAUUCAUUUUUUAUUUUUUAGAAAAACCCUACCUAUCAGCCUCUCCGAGUUUUAUAAUAUUUUUUAUGUCAUUGUGUUUAAUUUUUGUUCUUAACCUCAUUAUUUUUUAGAGUAAAUUACUAGAAAAUAAUUUAAUUUAAUUAAGCUCAAAUAAAUGCUUGGCAGUACAAAGGGUAUUUCUAUGUGUUCUCCUAAAAAGUAUUCGAAAUUACUUUGAAGUACACAAAGUUCACAAAAAUAAAAAUAAAAUACAAAACAAAAUAGAACAUGCAGGAAUGACUUAGGCCCUGUUUGAUAACCCAAUUCAGCACUUAAACUUAAUAGAUUCAAAUCUUAGCAUGUUUAGUCACGUUUGAUAAUAAAAAAUUGAACAUCUGAAUUACUUAAGUGACAUUGAAUUUUUUAAACAAUACUUGCUCCCAAAAGUAAGUUAUAAUUUAUUCACAUAUCACUGAAUGUGAUAUACACUCAAAUAUAUUCUAUUUAAUAUUUAACAAUUGGAUAGCUUAAUGAAUUUAGAUUUCAGUUUUCAGUUUUAUCAAACACAUCCUUAGUCAAAAUUCUACCUUUAGAAAAAUUAAUUUGUUAUAAUCAUACUGGAAAAUAUCGGAAUUGAUAUAUUUUUUUUCCUUUUUCCCCUCCCGGAAAGUCUUUUCUUACUGCUCUGAUUAAUGUAGUAGUUCUACCAUUUCGGAAAAAAAAAAAAAUUAAUGUAGUAGUAGCCGUUGAAGGAAAAGUUGCCUAUCAAAUAAACCCAGUGUACUGAAAGUCUGAAACGUUUAAUCUAUGGUCCGCAGGCAAAAUAUAUGCUGGAUGAAAAUUAAGCCAAGAAGUUGUAUGAUCUUUCUUAUACUCAACUCAAGUCCAUUUAAGGAUGCAACUUCAAUAUUCAAUACAAUAAUACACUACUAAAAAGUAACAUAGUAUAAGGGAACUUUCAAAGGAAUUAAAUUCGCAAGGACGUAUCUAUUGUUUGUCAAAUUUUGUCCCACCAUUUAGUAACAACAUCCUUGUCAAGAAAGUGGAUGUAGAAAAACGAGAACAAUAGAGAACCCUUUAAUUUCUAUGCUCCAUUAUCUUUGUUUCUUGAUUUAAUUAAGUAAAUUUAUUGUGGAGUCAUCAUCUCAUAAGUUGUGCAAGAACAACUAUAAUGCCUUACUUUUUUUGGAUAUUUUUGGGGGUAAGAACUAGAGGAAGGUUCUUUGAAGCAGUUGAUUUUUUCUUUUACUACAUGUUCAUGGCAAAAGGGAGUAAAAGAUCUUAUCAACCCAUGAAGAUGAAUUCUGCAAGUGAAACUGAUCAACAGAGAAGGAUACAUUGGGUAGCUUUUGGAAUCCCUCCAUGAAAGGUUGGCUGCAAAGAUGAAUUACACACUGAUACUAGAACUUGUUACCAUUAGUUUUAGGAUUAAUCUUUUAUAUCCUAAUAAUAUAUAUACUAUUAGUAUUGGAUGAAUGAUAAUUAUGCAAAAUUUGAAUUUGAAAUUCAACUUUUACACAUGUGUCGUGGAUUCAACGAUGAUAGUAUAUAUACUGUCAGUGUAUAUAAAAUUUACUCUUAGUUUUAGGUCCCGUUUGGGGUUGCGGUACUAUUGAUAAAAAAAAAGUACUUUUAUGUACUAAAAGUAUUUUUAAAGUAUUUAAUGAAUAUCAUCCCAUAAAAUUAGGGUAGAGUUUUUAUGUUAAAAGCACUUUUAUGCUUUUUUGAGUAGCUUUUGUAAUUUAAAAAAUAAAAUAUCAAAUUUAAUCAUCUUAUCCUAUAUUAUGACCAAAUAAAGAGAUAAACACUUUUAAAAAUUUUCAAAUUACACAUUAUCCAAUACAAUAAGCACUUAUUGACUUAUGUCUCCAAACAAUAAAUUUAAAAGCAUUUAAGCAAUUGAUAAGUACUUUUAUUAAAAACUCUACUAGAAAAGUACUUUUCAAUAAAUUACUACAAUCCAAAACAGACCUUAAUAGGGGAAAGGAAUAAAUUCACACUCUUUCCUUCUAAAUUUACACAUUGUAUAAAUUUUUAGAGCACAAGUUUAUCAAUACUAUUAUACUAACGGUAUAAGUUUUAGUACAGAUAAAAGAAAUGAAAUGGGAAGAAAGUUCCAUUAAAAAAAAUUGAAUGUAGCAUAGAUCAACAUCGAAUGUUGUUCGAGAAAUAUCCAUGAUGGUUGUAACUUGUAAGCGUUCUACACAGGCACGCAUUAUUAUUCUAUCCUCAUAUACUUUCAUGGUUUCAUUUGCUUAAAUUUAGCAUGUUAAAAUUAGGGAGAAGUCAAAUCUAUAAUCUACACCUUUGCCUUCUAAAUUUACAUCCCUAAUGCAUUGGUAAAUUCUACAAUUAAUAUUAAUACUUGUACACGUAUAGUUUUAGAAUGAAGUAAUGUGGAUUUAGCCUCCCCUUGGAUUUAUUUACAGGAGUGCGGAUUUAGCAUUUUUCUUAUUUAUUUUAUUAUUAUAAUAUUUUAUUUGAUAAAGUACAAUCGUGAUACUGUAGGUUUCUAUUAGCCCUUCCUUUUUUUCUUUUUUUUAAGGAUCUAUUAGCCCUUCUUACUCCAAUGGUCUAAAAUUUUGAGAAAAUAAAGACUAUUCUAUGCAGCUACAUUUCACGUGGCCUACCUCCAACCUUUCAAAGGGCCUGAAGUCCGGGGACUUGGGGGGCAAAAAGUUCACACUUAAAAGUGAGGCCCAUAAAUAGCAGCAAGAUGUAAUCAGUAAGACUGUUGUGGGCCUUCUCUCUGACGGCCUCAUUGCCAGCUUUCCAGAGGCCCAUGCAAAUGAAUUUUGCCUUUACAGAGCAAAAGUUUUGUAUUCGAGUAGCUGAAUAAAAGAAAAAGAAAGGGAGAAUUGCUGGGGUCGCGCCAGUGGCCAGAGUAGGACUGUUAGAGGAAAAAAGAUAAAGGAAAAAAAAAAAAGGGAGCGGUGUAUAAAUAAAUGCAUGUUAUAUUUUGUAUUUUUCACUUAUAUUUCUGAAUUUGGAUGUGUACAAGCACAAACGACUUUGAUUUGAACUCCAAGGUUUCUUGAACUUUGGAUUCUCGUUUUUUGGAGAAAAUUUUUUUACAUUUUCUGUGAAUAUUCCUUUCACACAAAUUUUAAUUACUUUUUUUUACCUUAAAUACAUCACAUCCUAAAAACCUGCUACAAUAAAUUUUCUCCAAAAAUUCUUCAAAAAAAAAAAUGCCAUGCAAAUCGGCUCUAAGGUUUUAUUUGAACUCUAAGGUUAGCAUGACCAUGGCUGAAAAAAAAAAUAAAAAAAAAAAAAAGAAGCAAGCACUUAGCGUGACAAUGAGCAAAAUUUCGGCAAAAGCAACUAGCCGUAGACCCAAACUUGCUUUUGACCCAAACUUACCUAACUUGAUUUUGAGCCUCAACGAAGAAUUGUUUAGAUCCCCAAUUGUAAUUGAAAGUUGGUUCUCCAAUUUGCACCUUUACGGAGAGGGGAGAAAGAGGGAGGAAUUCUGGGAAGACGAAAGAUGGAAAUAAAUAGCUCAAUUUGGGAUCCCCAGAUUGCAUUUCAUGAAUUUGUUAUUGGGUCCCUCAAGCUCUUAGCUUCUCACAUAUACGUCCCAAAGUUCAAACUAUUACCUCAUUUUGGCUACACAAGUCACCAAGCAAGCUUUUGCUCAAUUCCUACCAUCAUGAAGCAAAUCUAAAUCACAAUACCCCAUUAUACUCAAUAAAAUUCACCGCACAAGACCACCCACGAUGUUAGAAAGGAAUGUUUUCGCAUACAAAACUGUUGCGGAGUAUCAUUUAUUACUAAUUUACUGCUUUCUUGAAUGUUGGUUAAUUAAUUACUAAAUAAUUUUCUUCUUGCUUUUCUAGAUAGUUUCUUUUUUUUUUUUUAAUAAAGUUUUCAAUUAUUCUAUUGUCAUCAAGAACUUGAGAUGAUGACAGCUUUUCCAUGUUUGAUUGGUAUGUACAUAUAUACAUAUGAGGGUUUAAAGGAGAAAGGAUAGAGAAAGAAAAUUAAGCCACGGGAUUGCUGAGAGGCUUCUGUUUGAAGUGUUGUCACCUAUGGGGUUUGCAAUGUUAAUAACUAGAGGAUGGGAAGCAUUGAGAAGUCUUACGGGAAGAUAGAAGCGAUGUUUUGAAACUCAGAUGCAUGGGAUCGGCUGGUUCAACUAGAUUGGAUUGAAAACUGGUUAGCUAUCCUGUUAAAUACAUCUAAUUAACCAAAAAACAAUUGAUCAUGUCAAAUCUAGUAAAAGAUCGGGUUUUGACAACUACAAGUGCUCUAUCUAACCGGUCCAGCUUAUUGACUUCAAUUACUGAGUUUGGCCAAGUUGCUACCGAUUCUCAAUUUCAAAACACUAGAUAGAAGUGGGUGGAGGUGGAAUUGGGGGCUUAUUAGUUGCAACCAAGAAGAGAGAGAGAUAAGCUCGCAAUCAAAGAAAACGAUCUUUUAUGUUUCAAUACUGUGAAAAGAGCUAUAUGUGUUUGGUACUAUCGAUUUGAACUUAAUUGGGAUUAUUGAGGUGAUCCACAUAAAAUCGAAUGCCUAAAUUGAAAAUCAAGGGGCAUAAUAUUGCGGGAAUAAAUUGAAUUUGAUUGGGAUUAUUGAGGACUAAAUUGAAUCCUUUUGAAAAUUGAGGGACAUAAUAGUAUAUUAAGUAGAAAUUGAGGUAUUAGUGAAGCAAUUUAUCUAAGGUAUCAAUUGAGCAGAUUUUGAUAAGUCCAACACCUCACAAAAAAUGUCAAUAUACUAACUUUUAAGCUUUUGGAUUCGCGCUCAUACAAUUAAGGCUCAUACUCACUCAAGAAUAUGUUGGGACUCUAGGCCUAUUUCGACCUUGGAUUCAAGCUCACAAUUAAUAUAUAAUUAUAGAGUUAGUAUUGUUAUUAGCAUAAAACUAUAUGUAAACUAUUAUAUCAAACACAUUAUUGUAUAUAAUAAACAUAUUUAUAUAACUAAUUAUUUGCGUUGGACUUUGAUAGGUUGAUCCUAGUGAAACCCAUUCUUGAUUCAAUUAAACCUAAAAUCAUAUUUUGACCUAAAUUCAGUCUUGCCCAAUAAUACAUAAGAUUCGAGAUUUAUUUCUUUCUCAGCCAAGUUCGAGUCAAUUCAACCUCAUUAACAGUUCUACAUUUACCCUUACUCUUAAUUGGAAGCUCUUUCAUUUAUCCCUAAAUGGAGUCGAGCUUGAUGCUUUUAACAGAUUGUAUUUCAUUACAAAUAAUUUCUACAACUGUCUAACGUAGGUGUAGAAGCCCAAGUAUCGUUCACAAUUAUAAAUCGAAUGGUCCAAAUAUGCAUGACGUUUUUGGGACCAUAUAUAGAAAUUUUUGAAUCGUUAGCCAAAUCAAGGCAUGCACUGUUUGCAAAUAUCGUCAGCCCCAAUUUUUCUAGCUAGAAAAACAAAGACAGCACAAGUGAUUAAGCUUAUCAUAAAACGUUUAUAGCAUAUCUGCAUUGGCUUUCAAGUUUCAACACAAGCUAUAUAUACAAGUUAAUCAUAAUCAUACUUUCUUUUUCUCUGCUAUCAGUUCCGGAGGCUCGUGUUUGGUGUUGCCUGGUCUAUCAGAUAUGGAAUGCAAGAAAUGCAAUGGUUUUCGAGUCUGCUUCAGUAUCUGCUAUUGGUAUUAUGGAGACUAUUCUUUAUGAAGUAAGACAUAUUGUCCUAGCUUGGGGCAAGAUACCCAACUCCAUUGAGAGUUGGCAGUUAGCAUUGGAGCGGGGCCUGCCGGCAACUUGGUAGUCUUUUGUAGCUGAGUUUCAUCUCUUGAACAAACAUUUUUGCUCAAUGAAUGGAAAGUUACAGUUUGCUUUUAAAAAAAAAAAAAAAAGACAUCACUCAAUUUUCGAUGAUCGAGUUGGUGUUUAACAGCUUAGAAGAACAAUCAGUUUAGAAUUUAAUUGCUAAGAAAAUGGAUAUUAAAGAAGUAUAGAAAUCCAAAAGUCCAAAAAUGGUGUCUGCAGACAUCUAAACACAAACUUCAAUGAAACGACUAAGCUGAUGUAUUUAAGGAAAAAAAAAUCUCUUUUUCAAAAAGUUAGGUGCUUUUCAUGACUCUGAACCUUUAAAUUAGUAAGAUGUAUUCGCAUUUUUACAUAUCUUGCUGCUUUGUUUAGCAGCUGAACACCUAUAGUCAACUAGGUUGGCAUACAUUCAAUAUAUGGAAGCUACAGCAAACAAAUAAUUGUUCAACAAGCUUGAAAUAGAAUGCAGAGAUCAAAUCUGCACAAAUCAUCAAUUUAGGCAGCUCUAAAUUGGCUAGAUUUAUCGUUCCAUUGAUGAUUUUAUAGAAGCAUUUCCCGAAAGAGCAAAAAAGUGAAAGUAAGGAAACCCUCGAUGCUAAAAGAGCUUAAAUUCAUAAUCAUCUUGUUGUAGAAAAAUUUCAAAUUGCAUAUCGACCUAUUUCCAGCCAUAUUAAUGGCUAUACUUCUAGCAAUGAUUUUGACUACGUUUUCUGGUGGCGAAAACUCGCUAAGCUGAUGAACUAAACGAUCAAAACCACUAAAAACUGAUAAAUAUGGAACAAAACUAAUUAAAGAGAAGUUCAAACCCUCUACAGAUCUUUAUUCUUUUAUAAGAAGAAAACCUACUACUAUUCAAAACUCCCCGAAAAUGAACGAGUUUGACCGAGCCCUCGAGAAGUUUUAAAAAAGAAAAAUAAGAAACCCGGAAAGUAAUGUUUGACUAGCUUCAAUAAAUUUCUGGAUGCCAAAGUAAUAGGGUCUGAGAAGCUGCUAAAUCGGAAAAUCAUGCAUAUUUUGACUGCAUGAUUGAGUUGCCAUGCCGUAUAGUUCAAAACUACCAUGUUGGACUUUGUUUCACGUCGUAGGACUUCGUGGUACAGCAUUCCACGAUCAAGGUUUGAAAAUUCGUGGUCUUCUGUGUUUUGGUGCUCAUUCAAGAAUUGAAGUGUUAGGUGCAGUCAACAUUGCGUUAGGUAAUUGUCUUUGAAUUUUGGUUACAUCAAAGCCCCAUGCCCGCCCAAAACACUGCGUCCAUGCCAUCAUGCAGAGGUCUCCUAGCAAUAAUGGGUUUCUAUGGGAACCAUUACCUUUUUCUUUCUCUUUGCUCCAAAAAAUCUUUAGAUGAGGGGAAGGUACCUCAACUUAAAGCUGAUGAAAUGUUAUUCACAGACUUUUAAACGCAUAAUAAUAGAGCAGUUCUUACGUAUUGCUUGCCAAUAAGAAAUCACUGAUAAUAGAGCUAAACCUAAAUUUUCUUUCGAUGAAAAUAAACAAGUCUUACCAAUUCAGCUAACCAUCAAAUUGCAUUACUUGUCUUUUAAGACUCUAAAAGUCGUCUCCUGACUCUUGAAUCGACUAAAAAUGUAGAUGAAAUUUUCAUUAUUUCAAGAUUUUGAAAAGUAUCGGAAUUAAAUAGAGAAAAUUUUGAUUCAAUAUUAGAAGCUCCAAAGAAGACAAUUACAUAGUAUAGUAUUUCAAUUUAUCUUAAAUCCAAAUUGACUAUUAAAGAAUUCAGUCAAUAUGAUUAGCUUUAGAUAAAUGGAAAAGUACGUUGUCUUUAGUGUCUAAGACGCAAAUUUUGGAUAAUUCAACUCCACAUAUAAGACGGGAGAAAAUUAGGCGUGGGUGAAAGGUGAGACAAGUAUCAAUAUAAAGUAAAGGGUAAUAAUCAUCAUGAAAUGGACGUCACUAUUGGUGCCAUAAUUCUUCAUGAUGUUUCCAACAUAAGAAGCAUCAUCAUUUGCAAUGAAUAUGCAGACCAAUUUACACGGAGAGAUGCAAUAGUUCACCGCAAAGAGGAAAUGAUUCACUAUCAGAAACGACUAAAGAGUAAAGGAAAUUAAUGGACAUUAUUGUUCAUGAUGUCACUGAUUUGCUAUAUUCUAAAAUGUAAAAGGAAAUUGAGUGACAUUAUUGUUCAUGAUGCAACUAAAUUGCAAUAUACGUGUGUAGUCUGUUUUUGGGGAAAAGAAAAGAGUACGAAACGUGGAGAAACAAUUACAAGUUCUACGUAGUAAGUUUUCUUCUUAUCAAUGUAGAAAGUGGCAUGAGUUUGUUUGGAUAAGAAUUUAUUUGGAUGAUUUGUUUGAUUCAGUUACUGUAGCACUUUUUGUGAUGUGAUGUAUGUGAGAUAAAAAGGUGAUUGGGAAUUGUGUGUAUGAUGCAAGCAAAACAAAAUUUGAAAUUUUUAUUCCAAAUUCUUGUUUUGUACCUUUCUUAAUUGCCAUUUCUUGAAAAACUUCAAAUGCAUUUUUUUACAACAUUUAUAAUUCACAAGUCAUUUAUCAAAAAAAUUUCUACAGUAAAAAUUUUCUAAAAAUACUCUAAAAUUAUCCACUUCAAACACAUUCAUUUUGCAUUCGAUACACUUAAUGAAAAAUAAUUUCUUUUUGAUAUAAAAGUGAAAUUAUGUGCAGAGGGAUCCAAUUCUCACUGACUCAUAAUCGCCCCAUAAUCUUAUAAUUUAAUGUUAGGACACGAGACAUAUGCAGUGAUAUACUGGACUUCAAUUUACUAGUUUCCAUAAAAUUUUCGGAGGGGAAAUGUAAGAUUUAGAAAAAAAAAAAUACGACAAGAAAUAUACACUUUUACCGGCCAUAAUGGAACUUCAAAUAUUUUGGCACCAUAGCUGACCCACAACUUACUCCAUCAUUUAAGGUUUGAUUAAUUGGUGAUGUAUAUAUAGAUUUAUGUAAAUAAUUAUAAUUCUAGGGAUUGCGAAUUGGGGAAUCCCUAAUACUCCUGUUUAUCUACAUUAGUCAAUUGGGGCGUGUGUACAGGAUCAAAAAUAAAUGCAUAACUUUUGUUUUCUAUCUUGUGUGCUAUCCUCAUCAUGUUAAUUCUAUAGAAAGCGAAGGAUUUGGAAGCGUUUUCUAGACAGUGUACAAUUUUGUAAUAGGCUAUAAUAUAUGGCAAACAUAAAUUUGUAUAACUUUAUAAUAGAAUGUUAACAGUCAAUGUUGUUAAUAAUAAAAUGAUUUUUCUAACGGGUGCCCAUAAGGCACUCAUUAACACACCUAACAUUUACCUAAUAUACCAUGUAUAUACACAUAUUAAUAAUUAUUACCCUCCCUUGCAUUUAUAUAUUUUUUCUAUUUAAUCUUACCUACCCUUUCUUAUAUUUAUUUACUUUCUCUAAUUAAUUUUACAUUUUCAAAAAAAUGAUAUACGAAAUAUAUCUUAACGAGUGCCAUAGAAAGAUUGAUAACUAAAAAAGGAAUGUUAAUCCGUCAGAUUUACGUGAUUUGUUUUUUUUGAAUUGUAAUGUGGAAGUUCUUUUUUUAAAAGUUAAAAGCAAUUGUUACUAAAAAUCAUUCUUGCCCCUUGCCUUAAAAGUGAAGGCUAAAAAUAAAUGGGUUACUCUAAUGAGUGCCCAUUGGGCACUCGUUAAUAUAUUUAAAAUUUACCUAACCUAUUAUAUUUAUACAUAUACUAACAAUUAUUACUCUUCCUUACAUUUAUAUAAUUUUUCUAUUUAAUCUUACCUAUCCUCUCUUAUAUUUAUUUAUUUUUUCUAACUAAUUUUAUAUUUUCAAAAAUAUGAUACCUAAAAUAUAUCUUAAAGAGUGUCCAAUAGACACCCGUUAGAUAGGCCUAAAAUAAAAUAAAGAUCGUGGAAAAACUUUUGUAUUGAAUGCUUAUCUAACAAUAGACAGAAAGUUGCAAGAACAAAUCAAUAGCUACUUUGGAGAUUUUCUUAAGCUGAUGUUGUACUUAGGGAUGGCAAUGGUGCGGUCACCCGUCCCACUCCCACGGGGGGCUAAUGAGGAGGGGGAUGGGGCGGGGGCGAGGGGAAUUUUUUUCCCCUCGCUUAGAAACGGGGCGAGGGGCGGGGGAGUGUACCCCCACCCCAUUCCCUGCCCUGCCACCCGCUUUAAAAAAAUAAAUAUAUAAAAUAUAUAUGUAUAUAAUUAUAUAUAUAUUAUAUAAUUUAAUUAGUUACAAACUUAUGAUAAUGAUAAUAUUAGUUAUAUGUAUUAUAUAAUGUCUAUUAGUAUAUAUAAUAUAAUUGAUAUUAUUAAUUAUACUAAUAAUUAUAUAUGUGUACUAAUACAAAUUAUUAAUUGGUUAUACUAAAUUUACUAAUACAUUUAUACUAAAUUCCUAAUUACACUUAAUACAAUAACAUUUUUUUCUUGAAAAAAACACAAGCACAAUAAUGAAUUAGUGAUUAUAUUUGUGUCAAAAAUGAAAACUUGACUACUUUAGUUAUAUUUAUUUCAUCAUGUUAAAUUGUAUUCAAAUAAUUUUUGUUUGAUUGUUUUUAUAAGUUUCAAUUGUAAAAUUACAAUGAAUAAUAAUUUGAUGAUGUGUUGAUAUUUUAGUAUUUGAUUAUUUGUUAAAAUUUAACCAUAAUAAAAUUAUAUAACAAAUUUUUAUUAGUCCCGCGGGGGCACCUGCGAGAGAAGCGGGGUAGGGUGGGGGAGCGGGGGCAAGGGAUGGGGCGGGGGCAGGGGGAGUUUGUAGGCAGCGGGGCGGGGGAUGGGGGAGGGGUCCCCCGCCCCAACCCCGUCUCGUUGCCAUCCCUAGUUGUACUGGUACAAAUCAAUAGAUUUAGUAGUGUUUGGAUUGCAGAUUUUUAUUUAAAAAAUUCUUAUGUUUUCUAUAAACAUAUUUUUCAGUCACUUUUUUAUUUUACAUAUAUCAACUCGCUAUAAUACAUUUUUCUACAAAAAAUUUUUAAAAAAUAGCAAUCCAAAUGGAAAAAUUGUAUGAUACUCUCACCUAGAAAAAAUAUUUUGGAGUACAAAGUAUCCAUGACAUUUUUGUAAAGUCAUUCAACCGCUCAACAAGAGUCAUUACUAAUACCGAGUCAAUACGUAAAAGCUAAUAUUGACCUAAAAAGAAAACCGCAAAACACACUUUCAAACCAAGAAAAGUUAGGCAAAACAAAAAGUGAACACUACUACAAAUUUAAAUAUCCAUGGUGCUUGUUAGACCAUGGAAGACCAGCCGUAGACAAUCCCACAAACUUUUACAAUGGCAGCCUUUUCUAGGCUGAGAAAAUAUAAAGGGCGUCCGGUCUACGGGGUCUAGUGGUGUACAAUUCAGUCUCCGUAAUUUGUGAUGUCAUAUCAGCCGACCAACAGAACCCAGCAAUGGACCCCACUCUACGUUUACGGUGCACGGUGGACCCCAUCCGCCCCACGUUCCCCAUUCGUAAUCUUAGGCAAUUUCAACUCAGAAUCCAAUCCUACCAGCGUGUACAUUCACCAUACUAAAUCAUAGCCGCUAAAACGAAAUGUGGGCCCACCAACCACGAAUGGGUUGACUGGAGACUAAUUACGGAGUCAUAUCUUAUUCAAUUUUUUUUUUUUAUCUUUUUCAAAGAAAAUUAGCUUCAACUCCCCAAAAUCCAUGUUUUGUAGUAUCAAAUUAUGACCGACUAAAUUUUAAUUACUCCUUCCAUUUUAAAUUCAAUGUCUUAGUUUCAAUUGAUACCAUAGUUUGUCAGAUCUUGUAUCUGUUAAAUUAUAAAUAUGUUAUUUUUAGUGCAUACUCAAUCUACUAUUAGUGUAGAUUUUUAUUAUAUAAAUCAUAUCGCACUGAACGAUUUCCAGUAAUUUAUUAAUAAAAUUCGCUUUUUAUAAAAAAAAAAAGCUUAGUAGAAUUCAAACAAUAACGACAUAGUAAUGUUCACCUUAUUAGUUAAUUGAAAUGUAUAAAUAUAUUACAAAAGAGUGGGCACAAAUAUAAUUUGAGUGGUAUUUACUAUUUGAAGAUGAAUAGAAUUCCAAUGAAUAAAGUGAUCGUUGUUUUGAACAGUCUAAUUAGAAAGACAUGCAACUAAGAAUGAAAGGAAUAGUAGUAUUUGACCCUAAUUUAAGUGUAGAUAAUUAUCACUGAUUUUGAGCUUAGUUGGUUCCUUGAACCCUUUCUCCUUUUGUUAUAUCUUUCACAUUUCUUUUGAUUCUUUCCCUCACGCUUCCAAUUGCUCUCACACUCUCCUACCUCGAAUGAAAGCCUCAUACAAUAAUUGAUCACUAGUAUACACAUUGUGUAUGUAAUUGCACAACAAAUAUAUACACCAAAUACAAUCAAUAUAUAUAUGCUAAAGGAAUGAUAACUUUUGAUAUUUAACUCAAAAAAUCAUAAAAAUUGGGAAGGAAUUGCAUUAUCACAUUACGGUUUGCCAAAAGACAAGAUCUAUAAGGAUCUUUAUCUUCAAAAGAAAAAAAAAAGCUACCAAAUUUAAUUUUACUUCUUAAUUUAGGUCAUUCUUUUUUUGGAUAAUAUUACAAGUAAUCCAUGUAAUUCAUUAAUCAAAAAAUAAUUUAUUUGAAAUGUAAAAAUGUGCACUUUAGAUCCCAUGUUGUUUACUUGAAAUAGGAAACAACUUAAUAUAAAAGCCAAAAUUUUCCAAUGAUUUUUACCAAAAGUUUUUAAAUGUUGCUCGUGCAACUUAAAGGAAGUGAUAACCUCCAAAGUCCAAACAACAAUUGGUUUGAUUGAGUUGCAAUUUUUCUCUACAAAAUUAUUUGGUUGCGUCAUAAUUGUAUUUUUAAAUCAACUUUUAUUUUUCAAUCAUAUUUUUAUUUUACAUAUGUCAGAUUACAAACAAAUGCUUCAAUCCAAUUUAAGGAAAAUUAUUAAAUACAGAAACAAAAAAUGGACAAAAAAAAUUGAAAUUUUGAGAAAAAUUAAAAGAUUAUUAUGUAAUGCAACAUUGAUAGACAAAGCACACUCACUCCAUAGUGGAGAAUCCAACCACAAUAUGUACUCUAAAAGCAAUAUACUACCACUCAUUGAAUUUACUCCAAUACCACAAAAGACAGAGCAGAAAGCACCUUCCAUUUCACUGACCAUAGACCAAACUUAAAAGUGUAUUUUCCCAACAAAAAAAAAAGGAUAAGCAUAUGGACUAAUUUAUGCUUCUUCUUUGCAAGGAAGAAAAAUCUAAAUGUAUAUUUUCUCUCAAAAAAAUUAUAAAUAUGUAUUUUCAAACUUUUACAAACAGAAGAAUAAUAAAUCUCAAGAAAAGAAAAGUGCUGAAUGGACCCCACCAUCUUACAUCACCCAACCUUUGACUCUCUUGCUCUUUUUAAACUGCUGUCCCUUCUAUUCCCUAACCUCUACCUUUCUCUCUGUCUAAAUUCUCCUCUAUUCCCACCAAAACUUGUUUCUCUGAAACUCACUGAGUUACUAGCCGAGUCAAGAUAGCUUUCAACUUGGUGCAAGAAUCCCAACAAAAAAAAUGGUCAGAAAAAGGAACGAUUUAUGCAUAACGGCGCCGAAUUUUUUCCGGUGUCCAAUCUCAUUAGACGUGAUGAAGUCACCGGUCAGUCUCUGCACCGGAGUAACGUACGACCGGAGCAGCAUUCAGCGGUGGUUGGAUGGCGGCAAUAAUACUUGUCCAGCCACCAUGCAAGUUCUUCAAUCCAAAGAUUUAGUCCCAAAUCACACUCUCCAACGGCUCAUCCAGAUCUGGUCCGACUCGUCCAGGACUCGGUCACCGGCCACCGAGUCAACCGCCGUGAACUCGGUCACCCAGGCUGAAGCCAAAUCCAUAAUUCAACAGCUCAAGAGCAACCUCCUUCCCCCGGGGUCCCAUGGGGAAAAUAUUUCUGGGUUCAUCUCGAUCAGCCUCCAAUGCAUGGGUAGAUUAAUCCUUUUCGCCAAACAAUCGGAGGAAAAUUCAAAUUUCCUUUCGUCGGCCGGUUCGGAGCUUUUGCCGGCGCUAGUUUCAAAUUUUUCCAAGCUUCCCAUGCAAAUUCAGGCCAGCGAAAAAGUUUUCCAGCUUUCUUACCUGCUUUUUAAAAAUCACAAGUCCGCACUGGAGCAACAAGAAAUUAUCAUCGACGACAAGUUCGUCGCCGCCAUGUUAAACUUUCUCCAGCUAGGGAGUCGAGAAUUCAGAAUUUCCGUCGCAAAACUACUAAAAAUCAUCGCGAAUUUGAGCAGCGAAAAAAGACACCUGCUAGGUGAAAACGACGACGUAUACAGGGACUUAUUGAGAUUAAUGAUCAGUUCCGAGUGGGAUCAAGAAGCCAUGGAAAGUUGUUUAUCUUGUUUGCUAACAAUUUCAAUGCCAAAGAAAAACAGGCUCAGGCUUGUACGUGGUGGAGCAGUGGUUGUACUUUCAAAAGCGUUAGAUGAGGCUGAAUUAAGCGUUGGCUCAACCGAAAAAGUUUUGAAAUUGCUUGAAAUCGUGUCAACUUGUAAGGAAGGAAGAGUGGAAAUUUGUGGGAAUGAGAAAUGCGUGGAGGCAAUAGUGAAAAAAGUGCUCAAAGUUUCAACACUGGCAACCGAACAUUCAGUUACUAUACUGUGGAGUUUGUGCUGUUUGUUUAGGGAUCAAAGGGCACAAGAAGCUGUGACAAAGAGUAAUGGGAUGGCAAAGAUUUUGUUGCUGAUGCAAAGCAAUGUUUCAGGAGCAGUGAGACAAAUGUGCAGUGAUUUGCUUAAGGUUUUCAGGGUUCAAUCUAGGAAUUCUUGUUUAUCAAGUUAUGAUACUAAGACUACUCAUAUCAUGCCAUUUUGAUGUUUUGUGGGAUUUUGUGAUCUGGGAUGUAGAAUUUGGAUGAGGGUUGAAGAAAGGGGCAGUUUUUUUUUUUUUUUUUGUAAAUCAAAAGCAAAUUUUUUGACAAGUAUACUUACUAUAUAGACAAAGAAAGGAAAAAAAUUCUUUUCAUUUGAAUUUUGUUUUGAUGUGUCAUGAAUUUUGGUUGUCUUGUUCUUUGAUUUGAUGUCUUCUUGAUUGAAACUAAAGCUGUCAUAUCCUGGACACAAAUUGGAAUGUUAGUACAAAGCUUGAUUUUGUUGCAGUUAGUUCCUACAUUUCUGGCCAAAUUUGUUUAAAUCAAAGAUGAUAUAGAUUGAAUUUUCACAGUAUGAAGACAAAUUAAAAGCACUUGGCAUAUUAUUUCUGAAGCUAAACCUGAUCUAAUCAAUCUUUUUUUCCCCUUUUUGCACCAUGUAGAAGUAAUUCCAGUCAUUCUCUUUGCAUAUAGUAGUGUAACCAGACUCACAGAUUGAAACUCAGAGGAUAAGAAGAAAAAAACUUCAAAAAGAUACCUCCUAAAAGGAGAGAAGAAGAAUAGAAAUAAGGGAAAAAAAAAAGAAGAGAAAAGGGUUCAACAAUGGUUUCCAACACAUUGCCUUUUCUUCUUUUCUUUCCCAAGUUGAUAUUUGGAGGAAACAGAAUCUGCUGAAUAUGGGGGACCAGAAAAUAAUGUGCACCCAGAAUUCAGGGUUCUGUCAGCAAGACGAUAAAAGGCUUGCAUGAUUUAGUUCAUUAAAUUAGUUGUACAAGAGAAGAAGACAAGUUGCAGUUAUUGCUGAAACUGCAGCAGACUUUUGCUGACUGUAAUGGCGCCCCUUCUUUUCCCUUUCAAUUAGCACUGUAUAAAUUAAUUUGAUUGCAGAAAAGAGAUGGAAGAGAUUGGAAUCACAGCCCCAAAAAGAAAUCUGUGGAAAGAGGAGGCUGGGAUAUGUAAGGUACAUAUGAGUAAAUUGUUUGACCAUUCCAUUUCUAGAAAAGAUACAUAUUAAUAAUACACGCCAAAAUGGGAUUAGAAAAUGCAGCGGAUAACCUAGUGGAAGUUAAUUUAUGAGGGAUCUUGAAAAAAGGAUAUCACUAAAACAAUUGGGGGCUUGUGAAUUGAUUGAUUCAAUGGUUGGAGGUUUUGCAAUUUAGUAGUAUUCAAUUUGAGUAAUGGAUUUUUUAAAAGCCAAAAAGCAUCGAUUGGCAAUUCCAAAAGUUGGAGUAGAUGGUUCUCUAUGCACUUGAAAGUCUAAGGUCCCUUUUUCUUUCAAAUUUAAUUGUCCUGUCCUUUCUCUAUUUUUAUAAUUCAUCGUGUGUUUCCCAUAUGAAUGUGAAUAUAUUUAUAUUUAAAUGUGGAGAUAUAAGAAAAUUACAUGGGCUUUCCCUGAUUUCUAUCCUAAUUAUAAAGACACCCCUUUUAUGGCAGCCUUGUUUAAGAUUUUCUUACAUUAAAAUGGUUCAUUAAAUACUAAGAAAAGAAAAAGGCCUUAUGGUCCAUCCCUUGCUACUUACUUUGUUAGUUCUAGCAUACAAGAAAAGUCGUGAAUUUUGUUUUCCAACUUGACUAGUACAAAUUUGGGAGCUUAUUGAAGUCGACCAGGGUUCUAGUUUUUCACCAAUUGAAUCAAUGAAGUGUUGACUUUUCAUCUAAUUUUCUCCUUAUUCAAUCAAACUAACAACCUAGUUGGUUAAGCAGUUGAUUCAUCGAACUAACUAGUUGAACCCUAAUUAAUUUAAUUCGAGCACUACCAAACUCUUUUAGGAACAAUUCUAUCGACGUAGUUUCCUCUAUUCAAGAGAUUCGAAUCCGAAAUCUCAAUCAAUAGAUAUCAACUCCUUGCGACUUGAGCUAGUCACCGUUGGUCACCAGGGUUCUAGCUUUUCACCAAUUGAAUCAACGAGGUAUUGACUUUUCAUUGAAUUUCUUGCUUAUUCAAUCAAACUAACAACCUAGUUGGCUAAACAGUCGAUUCAUUGAGCUGAUUGGUUGAACUAUCACGUUAGGCCAACUAUGGGCAAAAUCUCACCUUUGCUAUAGUGAGUCCUAAAGGGAAGGAAAAUAAUUCAAAACAUACUAUAGGGAAAAAAAUUUACUUGCCUCUAAUGGGAAAAGUUAUUGGAUUUUCUCACAAUUUUGCAAAAUCUGAGAGGAUGCCAGUGUAAUUAAAUAGCAUGUGGACUGGGCUUUUUAUUUGUUUGAAUUACAUAUUUUGUGCACAUUAAAGUUCAUUGGAUCCUGUCCAUAAGGCCAACUGCCCUAUGGGGUAUGUAUGUGUGGAUGUUUGGCUACAAAGAUUGGCAUAUUAAAAUGAUUUUGUGAAAGUGGAAGCAUUAGGACAGAGAUGGUCCGGUUUGUUUGUUUUCAGCAUAUGUGUCAGACUAUUAUCCCAAGGAGGUACCAUGUUGGCCCAAGUUGGGCAACUCACGUGACCUAUGAUUGCAAGCAAGGGAGAGCUACCAUGGUGAAAUUUAGGGAUAAUUUCAAAAACCUCCACUAAGGUUUUUCAUAAUUUCACUAGGCUUCCUUGAAGUUUAUAAAAUUACACUUACCUUCUUUGGCAGAUUUGUGGGCCUAAUUACCUUAAGACAUUUAACUAUACCUUAAGACAUUUAUGUCUUAUUUGAAACUAAUAUCUAAUGAUUGAGUAAUUAGGUCUAAUUAACUAUUAGUAACUAAUUAAUGAAACUAAUUGUUGAAAAUUUCUUUAAUGAUGAACAGUAACUUGCAAUUAUAAAAUAAUGCCAAUUGAUAUACCAAAUGGCGCAAUUUUUAUUACUGAAAGGAUUUGACAAUGUCCAUAAAUUUGUUAUACACAAUGUGAGAAAAAGGGGAUUGGUAGAAGAAAGAAAACCCAGGGCAAAAAUAGGCCGUUUAUGAGGAAAUUUGCUUUAAAACUCUUAAAAUUGUAAUAGCUGUAAAGUAAUUUUGUGAAAGUGAAGAAGAAAGGAGAGAGAAGAAAGGCCAAAUUCAAUUUUUUUUUCUAUUCAAAAUUACAAGAAUCAUAACAAACCUCAUGUUAAAAGAGAUGAGUGGCUUGUUUUGCUAAAUCUUGCGAUCAUUAAUGUAGUUUUAUUGCUAUUUUUUUAUUAUCUAAUGUAUUAAAUGUGAACUUUUUGAAUAGUAAAAUGUGUGUGUUAAAUUUUUUUAACUUUUAUUUAUUUUCAUUAGUUUACUAAUACAACUUAUACAAAUGCGUAAAGGGGUAUUUAUGAAAUAAUCUUUUAUCCCUCUUCUUAAAGUUCUUUUUUAAUGAUAUUUUUUCUGACUUGAACUGAUUUUGUUAUCAAAAUCUUAAUUUCGGGAGAGGUCAAUGUAAUUUUGCAAAUCUUAGGUGAGACGAGUGACAUUGUGAGAAACAUCAAGGGUGGUUUCUGAAAUCAUCCCUAAAAUUUAUCAAUGCCUUGAGCUAGCAACAUUAGCAGUUCUACAGAACAGUUUUCACACAAAUUCUGGCUAAUAGAUACAAAGAAAAGCAUUUCCAUAAAUUUUACCAUCGCUUUCAUGGUGAAACAAUCCAUGCCUUUGAAUGUUUUUUCUAAUGCAGACACGUAACAUGUUUUUGAAUGUUUUUUCUAAUUGUAUAAUUUUUGAAUGUUUUUCUAAUGAGAAGUUUUAAGAACACCUAACAAUCAGGACAUAUUACUGAAACAGCGAGAAACUGCAGCAGUUGUGACUAAGAUUAUUCACUUAAUAUUUCUUACAAAUUCAAACACGAAAAUUACUGAACAAAAGGUGAAAUUAUCAUUAUUAGACAUAAUAAAUCCUUCCAAUUCAUCAAUAAAACAGACUUUAGCUGUAAUUAUCUUUUCAAAAGGAAUUGAUCAUCAUUUAGACUACUUAAAAAAAAAAAAACCAAUUAGAUGGCAUAUUAUAGCCAUCAUCAAGGUUAAAUUACUACUAUCAUUUUUGCAUGAUAAGAACCUGCUGACUAAGCUAACAAUUAUCUACUUGAGAACUUUAACUACCGAUUAACAACAAGAUAUUAUCCCCCCUCAACAGAAAAAGAAAUAACCCUAGUUUAGCCCGUCAUUUUGAACUAGUGAAACUUCAUGCUUGUAACUUUUUUCCAUAUUAUUUUGCUUUCUAUCAAUACUGCACUACUUGAAUAAGACAAAAUGAUACUACUAAUAAAUUACAGGACCAAUUUCAAUUGCACCGAUUAUUUCCCUCCGUCUUCUCGGCCAAUCAUUUCCAUGAUAUUUGCCCAUAACUCAGAAGAAACUAUCAAAAACUAAAUAUAAAAAAUGGGCUUGCCAAGCUUGAAGAUGACUUUAUUUCCUCGUACAGAGAAAAUUAAUUAUAAAAAAACGAGAGGGAUAGGAUGCGUGAAUGGCUGGGUUAAGUUUUCUGGGCUAAGCUAACUUGUUUUAUGUCCAACAGCCCAACCAACCAAGCCUUGGGGCUAAAUUCACAAUAUUUCAUACUCCCUCCGUCCCACUUUGAUAGUCCCGUUUUCCUUUUUCGUCUGUCCCAAAUUGUAGUCCACUUUCCAAUUGAAGAAUGCAGUUGUAUUUUAAUUUUCCUAAAAUACCCUUAUUCAAUGUAAGUUGUUGUUACUAUAAACCUACCCCAUUUAAUGAGAGUUGAUUCUUUUUUUACCAUAAACCUACCCCAUUCAAGUUUCCAUAAAGUUGUACCAUAUUUAAUGUGAGGGUAUUUUAGGAAAAUAGCAAUCUAAAUUUACUUUUCCAACAAAAUUAACUACUUUUUCUUAAACUGUGUGAAAAAAAAAACAGGACUAUCAAAGUGGGACUAACAAAAAAGGUGAAUUAUAAUAACGUUCCCUUCAAGUUUAUGUAAAAGUUAGGGACCUCCCCUCUUAUUUUCAAAAUAACAUGGACCUCUCUUAUCAAUGCUUUCCAUCGAUCCCAUACUUACUGUAAUAGGUUUGACAUUUUUUACCUUUUACCUUUCUUGUUAAUGUCCUUUACAUUUACUAAAAGAAAGUUGUUUAAAAAAAAAAAAAAAAGAGUUGUAGUUCUCUCCAAAAAUGAAAAUAAAUAGAUAAAAGAGUUUUUUAUCAUGAAAAUUGAAAAUUUCAUAUAUUUGUCAUUUUAUUCUAGAUUUUUCAUACCCAUUUAUCAAAAUGGGUAUGAAAUUUCUGUACAUACAAUAUAGAUCAAUUUCUGUAAUAAAAUGAGGUAUUUCCAAUUGUAUACUUGGAAAUCCAAACUCGUACAUACAAUUAGCAUUAGAUAAUGGAAUCAAAAGAUCAACUUAUUUAGUGACAAAUUUUUAAAAAGUACAAUGAUGAUAACAAUAAUAAAAAAAAAAAAAAGUUAAAACAAGAUAGGAGGUCCCUAUUACCGUAAAAUCAAGAAGGGACAUAUCUGACUUUUGUAAAAACUAGUGGGGAGAUUAUUGUAUUUUAACCAAAAAAAAUAAAGAAGAAGAAGAAGAACACCAUGCAUGCAUGAUAUGUUUUGUAUUCUGCGCAUUAACAUAGCAAGAACAAAAACCAUUAGGCAUGAGUGAGGUUAACCUAAUUAAGGCUUUCAAUCUCUCAAUUCAAGCAAUUCCUCCUCUUACUCCAAGACUAAUUACAUUCACAUCCGCUAAAAUUUUGAUUGCUGAUUACAUUCAUUGUACUUAUCCCGCUCAUGAAUACGGCAUCGAAUCCCAAUAAAUGUCUGCAAACAUUUUUGUUACUAACAAAAAUGAAAUAGACUAAAAAAGAACAAGGCAAAGAGUAAACUUGCAUUCAUGACUAAUCCCUUUCCUGGACUGGAUUUUUAGUCAUGUUUGACUUGGGCGGUGCACACCAUCUUAAGUGGAAUUCAGUAUGGAAUAGCUGGCCCAAAUGUGGGAAGCAUGAAACUGGACUGACGCUAAGUAACACGCAAUUCAGGGGUGCGUGCUUUCAGAUGCAAAUUUUGAUUUUGACAAACUAGAGCUUGAUCGGAUUGUAAAUUUUUGUAAAAUGUGAUUAUGAAAUGUGCCAAAGAAUUAUUUUAAAAAUUUUUCUGCAAAAAUUCACAAUUUAAACCAACUCGCUAGAUUGCCCUUAUAUGUUGCAUUUGUGACAAUUAAAUAAUAUUUUGAUUUAGAUCACUUCAAUUAUUAGUUUAAACUUGCACACAGUCCUAUAGAGCUAAAUUUGUGAUUUAACACAAGCAUGAGCACACAAAAAAAAGAAAAUAAUGAGGGCUCCAUUUGAAUUAGCUGUUUUUGGGGGUAUUUUUGAAAAAUUUUACUAUAACAGUGUAUAUGAAAAAAAUUUUACUAUAAAAUUUUUUUGAAAUAUUUGAUAUAUUGUACGGAUGAGAUGUUUUUUAAACAGUUAUUAUGUAUUACUGUAACAUUGUAUUUGAAAAACUUAUUUUUGACAAAAUGUUCAAUCCAGACAGAUAUUUUAGUCUUGAGGAUAUUUGAAAAACUUAUGUUGCGGUUCAACCGUCUAGAAAGCACUUGGCUUGCAGUUCCCAUUUAGAUGAGAUGUUGAUGUACUCAUUCAAGAAAAGUAUAAAUUGUUUUCCUUUAUAGGAAAAUUGAUUUCUGGUGAACCACUAGAGCCGGUCUAAUGAAGGAAGGAUUCUUAUAAUCUUUCUCGCUGCCAGGCUCAAAAUCCAAAUCCUAUAUUAGAAGUGGGGAAGUGUGAGAAGGAUGAGAAGGGUUAAAGAAAAAGAAAAAAUUUUGAUUUUUUUGGUGUAUUUAGAAAAAAUAUAUACCUUCUCUCUUUACGAAAAUAAACAUCCAUACAGACUCUUUCAAGCAAAAAUUUAACACAUUUCUGCUUGCAAAUUUAUAUAUUUCUUGAAACAUCAAAAAGUGAAAGAACGGUAUAAAUUGGAUUAGAAAAUCUGUAUCUAUAUGUAUUGCAGAAGGGUUUUUAGCAGAGACCCUCUUAAUGACUUCCAAACUUCUCAUUCUUUUUUCUAGAUUUUUGUAAUUAUUUUAAUACAUAAAAAGUAGUGGGUUAUAACCAACCCUAUCACCAAUCAAAUUUAAAAUUUAAAACAUUCCCACUAUUUAUUUCAUAAACCAUUUAUAGUUUGUUAUUUAUACUUUAAAUCCUUUUUAUUCCUUAAUUAAAGACAAAUGCUCAUUCAUAUGCUAUUUUAAUACAAUGUUACAUUUUUAUAAUUAAGAAAUAUUUGUCACCACACUACCCCUAUAACCACCCCUACAAAUGAGCUUUGCAAAUUACAAUCACGUUUAAAAAAUACCUAAAUGAGCAGAUAAGUGGGGCAAAGUUAAAAAAACACAAUAAUACUAAUCAAUACCUAAAUGAGUAGGGUCAUUUACUGAAAGGUAAUCACCGCCGGCUUCCUGACGUCUACCGAAGGUUCAAGAAAAAAAGUAUGAUGCGUACUAAGAAGAGCACCGGAGUUCUGGUACCAAAGCUGCAUCAGUUUUCAUCGAUCAAAGAGGGAUCUGUAACUAUAUGUAUUGCGGAAGGGUUUUUAGCAGAGACCCUCUCAAUGACUUCCAAACUUCUCAUUCUUUUUUCUAGAUUUUUGUAUUUAUUUUAAUACAUAAAAAAUAGUGGGUUAUAACCAACCCUAUCACCAAUUAAAUUUAAAAUUUAAAACAUUCCCACUAUCUAUUUCAUAAACCGUUUAUAGUUUGUUAUUUAUACUUUAAAUCCUUUUUACUCCUUAAUUAAAGACAAAUGCUCAUUCAUAUGCUAUUUUAAUACAAUGUUACAUUUUUAUAAUUAAGAAAUAUUUGUCACCACACUAACCCUAUAACCACCCCUACAAAUAAGCUUUGCAAAUUACAAUCACGUUUAAAAAAAAUCACAAAUGUGCAACUAAAUGUAAAGUUGAGGAAAGUACAGCUAAAUAUAAAGUUAAGGGGUUUACUAUAUUUAACCCUAAAAAAAUUCCAAGAACGUAACAAGUAGUGGAUUAUAGAUUUUUGUAUUUAUUUUAAUACAUAAAAAGUAGUGGGUUAUAACCAACUCUAUCACCAGUCAAAUUUAAAAUUUAAAACUUUCACAUAAUCUACUUCAUAAAUCGUUUAUAGUUUGUUAUUUAUACUUUAAAUCCUUUUUACUCCUUAAUUAAAGACAAAUGCUCAUUCACAUGCUAUUUUAAUACAAUUUUAAUUCGCAAGCAUAUAACAUGAUCAAGAAAUAGCAGAACCAAUUAGGACUAGAUUUUGACAAAAAAAAAAAAAAUUAAACCUAGAUGGCACUGGCACGUUGCCGUAACUUGCGAUGCCAAUUAGGACUAUUUAGUACUUUUUUUUUUUCAAGGAGUUAGGACACUGUAAAGCUUAUUUAGACAAACUUUGCCCCAUCGGUAAUUUGAAUAUUAAGUUAUUGAAUAUACUACAAAUUCUAUAAUAUUAGUCUGCUACAAAAAAAUAAUAUUUUACUAGCAUGUGGUAUUUGUGUACGAAAUUUUAGAGGCAAAUCAAAUGCUUUUACUUAUACUCUAUACAAUUUGAAUGGUUUUUUAGCGAAUAUAAUUAUACUAUGCAGGACCAUCACUUUGUACAAUUGGAGCUAGCAAAUUGUAUAUCAUCACAAUUUAGAUUUUGCUCGAUACCUGCGCAGUUGGUGAGUUCUAUCAGUAAUACUACAUCAAACUUUUAAUGUUGUUUCAUACUCUUCUCAACAUGUAUUUCAAAAAAUUGUAGGUUUGAAAAUGAUACAUGUGCUCGAAAGUUAGUUACAUGGUUGAUGUCAAGCAAUUUUACAACAUCACAAGCAUUGUUGAUAGCAAAUUCAAAGAGAAUAUGAAUAUCCGAAUAUACAAUCAUGUGUACGGUAAACUUACUCUAUUUAAUUUAAUUACUACAUAAAUUUUUUAAAUUUAUAAUCAUAACCUAUACCUUCUUUCAUUCUUACUAGGUUAAAUAUUUUCGAAUACUUGUUUACAUUCAGAGCAUUAAUAUAGAAAACAUGUUCAAUGAGUUAUACAAAAAUUGUGGAUAACUAUGUGAAGGUCGUUUUUAAAAAAUAGUGUGUAUGCAUUGUAAUAAUGUGGUCGACACUGUUGUUAGGUAAUUAAUUUCAUGUACCUUUAAUUUCAACAAAUUUUUCUGUAUUGUAUAUAACAUUUUAUUUGUCAAACAAGUACAAUGUUAACAUACAAAUCAAAGAUUCCAGUGGUAACAUGCAUCUUAAUCUACAGGACAGACAUGCACGAUUCAUAUUUGAUUGUAAUGCUUCUUAUCUCAGAGAAUUACAAAGGAAGAUAGAAUUUCUGAUAUAUGUUUAUUUUUUAUAAUGCUAUUUAUAAAUUAUGUAAAAAAAAAUACACUAAUUUUGAAUUUCGCACGUACUUAAUUCUCAGGACAAUGGUGAUAGGUUGUUCAACCAAAGAAUUAAUUCAUGCAAAGAUCGUGCAUUUUUAUUUGUAGUACGCAUUCCACAAAAUUCAACAGAAUUAAUUAAAUCACCAAUUUUGGCUUUCGUACUAAAAGUUGAUUGGUGUGAAGAGUGUUCACACCUUUAUGCAAGAUUAUCAAAUCGAAUGCAUAAUAUUUGUAAGUAUUUUAUUUUAACAAUAUUUAAUUACAUUCAUUUUUAUUCAUAUAUCAUUCAUUUUCUAAUAUAAAUUUCUAUUAUUUUUUCAGGAUUUAUCUUUCAAAAAAUGGUAAUUUUUGAAUAAUAUACACAUUCUAUCAUAUUUCAAACUAUUGUUAGACAGAUAUUAUAUUUUAAUUGUGUUGGUACAAUUUUUUAACCUUUUUUAAUUUACCAUUUUAUUUUCAUUUUUUAAUAAUGUUAGCUCUGUGCGUGGCACAGGUAUUCACACUAGUAUCAGAGUAAGAUUCAAAUUUGAACACUCAAAAUAUAUAGCAAGUACAGCGACUUCCUUCUUCUCAGGGAUAACUAGAUAAAGAGAUGUCACAAUCUUCCAAAAAAUUGGCUAAACACUAGGACUUUAUUUGAUAAUCCAAUUCAACAUUUAAACUUAAUAGAUUCAGUUUUAAUAUGUUUGGAUGCAUUUGAUAACAAAACAUAAAACAUCUAAAUUAAUUAAGUGAUACUCAAUUUUCUAAGCAAAAUUUGCUCCAAAAAAUAAGUGAUAAACUAUUCACUUAUCACUUAAUAUGACAUACACUCAAAUAUAUCAGAUUUAGUACUUAACUAUUCCGUAACAUAACGAAUUAAUUUAGUUUUCAGAUUUUAUUUUUUAUCAAACACAUCCUAAAUUAAAGAAACUACUUGAUGUACAUAAAUGCUAACUCCAAGACUUGGACGUAGAAUAAUUCAAAAUGAUUCUUGUCCCUUCAAUUGAAAAUCAAUAGGAAUAUAUGUCAACUGCACAAUCAAAGUUGUAUGCUUACCAAAAAUUGAUACCCAGAUUGCAUUGCAAUGUUUUAGAAUUUCUGUAAAAUAAUAUACUAUAACAAUAUAAUAUGUGUGAAAUAAAAAGAUAAUUAAAAAAUGAAUCAAGAAAAUGUUUCAAAAAAUUUUCUAUAAAAUCUUACUAUUCAAACAGGAAAAAUUGUAGAAUUGAAAGAUGUAUGUGCUAAUAAACUUUUCUAUGCUUGCCUAACAUCUACAUCAUGUAUCUUUGGGACAACAUGACAAUAACAGCAAUAUAUUAAGAGUUAACUUUAUAUACUGACACUGUAUAUAUUAUCACGAAUGGAUGUAUGACACAUGAGUAUAGGCCAAGACAGAGCUUGUGGCUGGCUUGCAUCUUUGCCUAUCAAGUCAAAUCCAGCAACCACAAAUUGCUAUUAAGUAAUAAAAUAUUUUGAAACUAAUCAUUUUUUGGGUCACUGUAAUUAUUUAAAACGUAGGUAAAUUAUACAUUAUUGAAAUCUGAUUAAAUAACAACUAUAGAUUUUUUUUAACAACUAUAUAGAUUUUGUUUGUCUGCACACCUUACUUUAUGGAUCUUAUGCAUUUUAGGCUUUUCUAAAUCUCACUCAUUUACUCCUUGUAAAUCUUGGUAUAUGUUAAAUACUUGCAAAUCCCUAGUUUUCUGGAUCUCGUCCAUUUCUAUUGUCCAUAUUGUCCUACACAAUCCUAUAAAUGCAUAGGUAUUUUCUAAAUCUUAUUGUCAGUUAUUUAUUUCUCAUGCAUUGUCUUUCACCCCUUUCUAAUUUCUACAGAAUAUGUCGACUGGCCAGGAGCAAUGAGUUUUUCUUUUUCUUUAUUGGAUUUAAAAGAGACUUUAAGUCUUGUAAAGUACAGUAAAUGUGUUUCGUUGAAGUGCUUUUGCAUUUUUAUUUUUUUAUUUUUUGUAUGCACGUUGAUAACUAGACGAAGAGAAAGAAGCUGACUUUCCAUAGUAGGAACAAAUGCAUCCACAUUUGUUACUUGCUAUGGACUUCUAAUGGGCCUAAAUGCUAAAGGAUUAUCUCAAUCAAGCACCUUUGAUGAAAGAAAGGUGCCCUUAAUUUGAAUGGUUUGAACGAUCAGGAUCUAGUUUAGCCAAUCUAAAGUUUUUAAUUUAUUAGGACAGUUUAGAUUCUUAAUUUCAAGAUAAGAGAUUCGUGAAGUUGUACCCAUAUUACCAUAUCUUUCGAUUAGAGUUAUUGCAUUUUAAUUGUGAUAGUAAUUAAAAAUAUGAAACAUUCCAAAUGGUUAAACCUCAAUGAUAAUGGUAAUUAAAAUGACAAAUUCCUUAUUAAAAGUAUUUAGCGGUCCUUACAUUCCAUCUCCAAUUCUUAUGUGUGCGUCAAAGUUUCUUAUCCGAAGAAAUUUGUUACUCAAAAUAGUGUAAUUAAUUGCAUUAGACACAAUUUCGAAAUCGUAAAAUAUAUUAGUAUAAAAAAUAGAUGCUCUUGGAACAAAAGAGAAAUAUUAAAAAGAAUUGAUACGAAUGUCACGAGACAAAUGUAUAAUUAUGUGCUUUUUGUUAAUAUGAAAAAGUACUGAAAGAAAAGCACAAGUAAAAGAAUUCAACAAGUUGAAUGUCAAUUGACAACUAACCUCAAUAACACUUAGAAAAAAUGUAAAUAGUCUUUUAUUCAACAAUUACUAACCCAAUAACACAAUUCCUUCCAAGGGGUAAAGGAAGGGAUGAGUAUGGUGAAAAUAAUUAGAAUGACUGGAAUCUAACAAGUCAAUUUAUUCACUCUAAUACCCCUUUAGAAAUUGAUUUUUUGAUUUAAGUCUUUACUUUGCUAAUAAUUAUGAAUUCUAUUUAUUAGACUUGCACUUGACAUGUGCGUGUAUUUCUUGUUUAACAACAUCUUUUGUACAAUAUUUUUAAAAAAUAAUAUUAUGAUUUAAUGGUAAAAAUACUUCAAAACAUGAAGGUAUAUUUUCAAAUUGUAUACGUAUAGACUGUAUAGUGAAAGAGAUGCAUCACAUCCAAUCCUAAAAACUGAUAGUACAAUCUUUCUAUUCAAUUUGUAGAGAACAGAGAUUUGUCAAUGCAAACAACCUCUUUCCGUUUCAGAAGAUUUUAAUUUGACUGUCAUUAAUGUCUCUAGAGGAACGAACAAUUGCAGAGCUGAGACCAGUUGAAUAACAAAGUAUAAGCAUUUCGUUUCUUUGAUUUUUCAUUUUGAUCAGUUUGAAUAGUUAAUCACUUGAAAUGGAAACUAAAAGAUGAAACAGCAAAAGAAAAAAGCUUUAGAAUAUUUAUUUUCUUUAGACAGCCAAAAGUACCUUGGCUAAUCUGUACUACUCUGAUUCCAGCACAAAGAAGGAAGAGAAAAGUGUGUCUUGCAUAUAAGCUUGUGCUCAGCUAGUUAUAAGCAUCAAAUCAAAUCAAUCUGUAGCAGCAUUGAAGAAGAUUUCGGGAAUUGAGAUUACAAACAGUGUGUGAUAGAUAGUGUUGGACUGAUUGAUGCGUGAUUAUGCUUGCCACUGCAGUCACGAAGUUGCAGCAAGCUGCAUCAUGUCAUACCAAAAACUUAAGAGAAGUGGCUCUGUUUCUGAGGGACUUGGCUCAAUUGAGUCUGUUUCUGAGCCACUUGAUUCUUCCUCUGUUUCUGAGGGACUUGGCUCACUUGAUAAUUCUGUUUCUGAGGAACUUGAUUCUUCUUCUUCUUCUUCUUCUUCUGAGUCACUUGAUGUAUAGCCAAUAUAUUCAAUUACGAUCCUUAGAACUUCGUUUCCCAUAUCCAUUUGUUCUUGUUGAAUUUGCUCCACUGAACUUUCAACAGACUCACUACACCGUCUCACAUUGAUCAUUUCGAGAGUCGGACAUUCCCCUAGACAAGAGGGCACCUCAUCCAACUUCGUACAAUCAUGCACAACCAAUUUCUCAAGACGAGGAAAAAUAGCAGAAGAUGCAAUCCAGCUGCAAAAUUGCAAGCCAGACAAUUUCAAGACUCGGAGGUUAGGGAACUCCCCAUCUUUCAUUUCCCAUUCUUCCCCAUCAAAGGAGCGAUGGAGUAAUUUAAGCACUUCAAGAUUGGGCAAUUUUCCAAUUGUUGAAAUUUCACUCCAUGGCUGAUGAUUACGCGAGAGAGUCAACUUCUUCAAAUUCAAUGGGAAUUUAAAUCCAUAUCCAACAAAAAAUGACAGAUUGAGUGAUUCUAGUUGACUCAAAGACUCAAACACGAGAAUCCGGUCGCCAGUUCUUGUAGGAUCUUCUCUUGAUUCGCAGGAUCUCGUGCAUUUUAGCUUGCGGAUGCUUGGAAACUUUGUCAGUAUCUUUUGCAAGCUUUGAGAGGAGGGAUCAAUGGCAAUGUUUAAAGUGUCUAAAUGAUCUAAACAUGGUGAUACUUCAAGAUUUUCAACGGGAAAAAUAAAACCAGAAUCGUCACCUGUAUAUAGAUGCCUCAAUGUCUUAAUGUUCCAGAUAGUCUUUGGUAACCAACAAUCCGCAUCCAAUCCCCGAGCCACUAAAGUUUGUAACCUUGAGAGGUUGUCUAUUGCAGAUGGGAUGAAUUUCAUUCCUGCAAUCUCAAGCCCCAAGAAUCGCAAAUGAACAAGCAAUACUACUUCCAUAGGAAAAUUUGCAACAGAAUCGAAGCCCCCCAAAAUCAACACUCUGAGAAGUUUAGGUAACGAAGACUCCAAAUCCAACACAGUAAGAUCAAAACUUUGAAUCAAGAUCAUGGUGCGUAAAUUAGGAAAAGAUAGCAUUGCCUCCGGAGUCUUUAAUUUCUUGGAAUUUAUGUCAUAAAAUCCACGGUAGGGGUUGCUUAGGCAGGUAAGACGACAAGGAUCUUUCCCAUGACGAAGGUUGUGUAUAAAGUUUUCUUCUUUGAUUUUUUGUACACAAAACCCAUGCACCAAAUCGUGAAGUCUGCAGGCUUUGGCACCGCCUGUACUUCCUCGUUCGGUAACCAUAACUAAACUUCUAUCAACCAGAGCCUUCAAGUAGUCGUUGGCCACAUUCUCUAAGCUCUUUCCUUUAGUCUUUCGUACAAAUCCUUCAGAGAUCCAAAACCAUGAAAUACUGCGGAUAUUAGACAUUUUGCCUUCUGAAAAUGCACAAAAGUAAAGAAGGCAUGACUUCAACUCAUCUGGUAAAUGACUAUAACUCAGUUCAAGUGUCUUUCUACAGUAUUCAUCGUCAAGGACAAUACUGGAAGUUAGACUCUUUGCAACUUCUUCCCAGUAAUCUUCUGCAAUAUUAGUAAGAAUUCCAGCAACAAUGACAACUGUGAGUGGUAAACCCCUACAAAAAUUUGCUAUUUGAGAUCCAACUUCAAUUAGUCUCGGAGGGCAUCCUUCUUUACCAAAUAGCUUUUUCUGCAACAAUUUCCAACUCUCUUCAUCAGUAAGCUGCCGAAGAUGGUGAGCAUUGCAAUCAGGACUGAAUUGCAAUUCAACUCUGCUGGUAAAGAGAAUCCUGCUUCCAUUAGCAUCAUCAGGCAGUGAAGUUUUCACCAAAUUCCAUGCCUCAAUCUCCCACACAUCAUCCAAAAUGAUAAGAUACCUAUUUCUCUUCAAACGCUUGUACAGCAUGUGAGCCAAAUCAGCUUUAUCCAUCUCAAGAUAUCGAUCAGGACUCUCAGAACAAAUACUACACAAAAGCUGAACUAACAAACUCCGUAUACUAUAUGCUUGAGAAACAGCACACCAAGCAAUGAUAUGAAAGUGCCUCAAAAUUAAUGGAUCAUUGUAAAUUCUAUUGGCCAAUGUUGUCUUACCAAGUCCACCCAUACCCACAAUUGAAACAAAAUCCAACAGCUUUGAACCCCUGGUAAGCCUAUCAAUAAUUGUCUUUACCUCAUCAUCGAGACCCACCACAAUGUCAUUCAACACUGGGGUGCUACGUUUUGACUCAACGUGGAAAGAUUUCCGGUUAGUUCUCUGAGCUCCAGUGUCAUGCCUCGUGCACUCAUAGGUUUCAAUCUCAGUCCUCAAAAGCUGGAUAUCUCUGACAACACCUUCCAAAUAUUCAUGUUUAUCACCAAUCACAAUAGAGUCAAUGACAAACUCUGCCCUGUAAGCAACCUCCAUAACACGACUCCAAAGAGCAUGGAGUUUUCCAUUCCGGUUGCGCUGGUCUACUAUCUUGCCAAGAAAAGAUCUUAAGAAUACAAGAUGAUCUAGGACUGUGUGGAUUUGAUCAUUUGGGAAUGCAAUUGAAUCAUCAGCCCCAUUACAACUUUCCAGUUCAAUCAGAUUUUCAAUGAGAAAAUCCAUAGAGCCCAACUCAUUGGUCUUAGGAAAACCAAAUGGCGAUACUGAUGUUACUGGAUAAACCUGUGCAACUUCUGCCCUAACAAACUUGAGCACUUUGAGCAAAUGAAAAAGAGCGACAUCAUUUUCCUUGGCCAAGCCUUCUUUGAUCAAUUGAUUCACAGAAAGUGAGAAAAUUACAAUAUUGCUGCAUCACAGACCACAACUCCAAUAAGAGUCUUCAUUUCAUGGCGUAGCUCUUUGAACUUCUCCGGAUGCCUCAGAAGGGUUGUCAAGAAUCUUAGCCCAUCAAGGAGUUUUUGCAUGUGAAAUAUAAUCGGAACCAGAAUACUGGUACAAGAUUCUAGCAACUCCGUAAUAUUGUGAACAAGACAAUCCACAAAGUCAACUACUAGAUGCUUAUUCUUCUCCAGAGCUGAAGUGUCUGAUGAUCUUGACAACUUUGAAGCAGUCAAGACAUGGAUAUAAGUUUCUCGAACUUGUGGAUCGCUGGGAAUAAUCUUCUCACCUAUUAGUUGAGAAAUUUGAAGUUCCGUUUCAUUGCGUACUUCACCUUCUCUGUCAAACCACCAUAUAGAAAUCAGGCGUAGUGCAUUGAUAGCCACCACUUCAGCGUGAAUUAACAGAUCUAUCAAUUGCUGACCCUGAAGCAUGGCAAAGCGAAUGAAACUUUUCCAGAACAUUAGCUUCUCUUUAAGGGUUCCGAAUACGUUCCUUUCGCGGAGUUCCGCCAGAUUCUUUGAAACCGAAUCAAUGAAAUCAAUAACUAGUUCUGGUUCUCUCAGCCAGUAACAGCCCAGCAGAAAGUUGAUGCACGAUUCCUUGAUAUCUGUCUCGAAAAACAACUUUAUUGCUUCCCGGAAUAUGGUGAGCUCACUUUUGAUUCGAGUCAAACCAGGUAAACGAGAAUGAAUCAAGUAUUCGCUGCAAGCAAAUACAAGAUCUGGCAUUCUUCUUUUAAUCAGAUUUUGAAUUCUGAAAGAAGUAACAUCCUUCUCCUCCACGUCUUGUUCCAAACAGGUUUCAUGGUUCCUCCUCCUCCUACACAUUCUCAGAUACAGAUCAAAGGUUUGUAACAGCCUCACCUCUUUCUCCAGGUUCCAGAUAUCAAAACACAACUCAUGCUCCAGGGUCUUAUUCAUCCAGCCCAGAUAAUCUAGAGCGGAAUCAAAGCAAUCAGUGCUACUACUGGAGGAUAUCUCCACCAUUGUAUCUUCUCUUCACUCUGAGAUCAAAUUUGUAUAUUGAAUAAUAAACUCAGUUCAAGGUUUACAACUUUCUGAUUAUCUGAAAAUUGUCAAAUUGGCUGGACUCUUUUUUUUUUUUUUUUCUUUUUCUGUUGCAAUUUGCAAAGACUCUUUAUCUUGUCUAGUUGUCUUGGUGGAUACUUUUUUCUGCUUUCGGCCUAAACGAGUCAGCUUUUGUCUACUUUCGGCCAAAGUGCAUUCCCAAAUAUUGGUAGAUAUGACACCAAAUCGGGGCAAACCUGCAUACUAAAGCGGCCGUAGUAAAUGGUUGUAAUACGUACUCGUCAUUUUCGAUAUCUACACGAAAUUGUAAAAUAGGGAAUAUAAUACUAAAGCAGUAAAUAGUUAUAUUUUCACCAGAAUGUAAACACAAUACUCAAAACUGUUCCGUCAAUAUUUUCCAAUACUCAAAACUGCUCAUAAUUUCCGUCAAUGCCAUCGUCAAUAUUUUUUCCCUUUCUUUCAAUAGUGUACUUAAAAAGUGAAACAAUAUGAAGAUAACAAGAAAUGACAUGCCCAAAUAGUAAGCUAUAGGAGCAACCUCUCCCAAAUCGGAAAUAUGAUCUAGACUCUCAACUUGCAAUUGUUGCUGCAAUAACAAUUUGAUGGUUCGUAAAAUCCAAACUUAGCUAAGGUAUCAGAUAAAUUAAGGAAGUUGAUUGCGUUAAAAACUGAAGCUUGAAGAAACGUACCUUUAAAGGUAUCCUAAGAUGCCACACCCUUUUAAAUAUAAAAGAUGAAUUCUAAGUUGGGACUAAAUUUUACUGACUAAUUUGAUUUUGUAAAGAAUCUGCAAAAUUGCCAUUUUAAAAGUGAAGAGCAAAAAAUUUCAUUUGAGGAAAUGUGAGGACGUUUCGAACAAUUUUCCCUUUCAUAAAAAUAAACAUCCAUGCAAAAUCUUUCCAGCAAAAAUUUGACAUAUUUCACCUCGCAAAAUUAUAUGUCUCAAAACAUCAAAAAGUGAAAGACCGGGAUAAAUUGUAUUAAAAAAUCUCUGAGUAAGACCCAAAUGCUUGGUUGAACACUCCCUUAAAAUUUAUAUAGCAAGUACAGUAACUACAACUCCCUUAAAUUCUCAAGGAUAAGAGACGUCACAAUCUUCUCAAAGUUGGCUAAACACUAAAUUGAUGGAAUCUGAUGUAUAUAAACGCUAACUCGGAGACUUGGAUAUAGAACAAUUCAAACAAGUCUUGAUCCUUCAUUGAAAAUCAAGAGGAAUAUAAAUCAACCGCAUAAUCAAAGCUAUGUGCUCAAAAAAAUAUAUCCUAUCUCAACUGCAAUUUAUUAGGAAUUUUAUAAAAAAAAUAUACUUUAACAAUGUGAUAUAUGCAAAAUAAAAAAUAAUUAAAAAUGUAUUAAAAGAAUAAUCUAGAAAUUUUUCUAUGAAAACUCACAAUCUGAACGGAACUUAUGAUUUAUAGAGUCGAAAUACUUACUUGUUAACAAAUCCUUUUGUGGUUGCCUAACAUCUAUAUCUUGUAUUGUUUUGGAAAAUCUGAAUCAGAAGGAACAUAUUAAUAUAAGACCCUGGGACUUCACAACCUCAACCCAAGUCACUGAAACAAUCUGAAACGAGUCUCCUUUCUAGGAUAAUUUACCCCAUUCACAUGAUCAGGCCAAGAUAGAGCUUGUGGCCGCAAUUGUCUCACAUCUUUACUCAUAAUGUCAUAUCGUGGUAAGUUAUACAUUAUUUUUUUAAGGGAGUUAUAAAUUAUUUUGAAUCCAAUCUUUUGUUCACCGUAGUUAUUAAAAGUGCUAGUAAAUUAUACAUUAUUAAACCACUGGGAUUGGUCUAGUAGCAAGGCGAGCACUCUUAGAAUCUUCCUAGUUUCUAGAUUCAAGAUUCAAAUAUUGUGUUUAGCGGUCGAGAUUUGGAAGUGUAGGAAGGAUUCAAAUCUUGUAUCUGAUAAUUAAGGGUCAGAAAAGUGUGAGAAGGGGUGAAAUGGUUAAAAUUAUACAUUAUUUGAUGCGUAUAUUAAACGAACUAGAAGUAUUACUCAAAUUUGAUUCGUUUAUUUGUACAAAUAUUCAAAUUUGAGUUCAAGCCCAACUUAUUGAACUAAGAGCAAAAUUUGAGCUUGAAUUUGAGCUUGGAGAUGAUUUAAUUAUAUUUUUAAUAAAUAAUACAUUAUUUUAAAAAUGGGUAAAUUAUAUUUUACCCCCCUGUGGUUUACCCUUUUUUUACAUAACCCCACUAUGGUUUCAAAAGCUAUACAUAACCCCCUCAUGGUUUGGAUUAAAGUGUCAAAGUAACGGAAAUAGUCACUCGUAACGGAACUUCUAAAAAUGUCGAAAUUACCCUUAUAAAUACAUGACACAUUAACCCCCUAUGAUUUUUAUAUUUUACCAUAUAACCCCCUUAUGGUUUAAUAUUUUACCAUAUAACCCCCUUAUGAUUUUCAAAAUAUACACAUAACCCCCCUUGGUUAAUACAUAAAUUUCAACCUUGCAUAAGGGUAUUUUUGACAUUUUAGGUGACGCCGUUACGAGUGACUACUUCCGUUACUUUGACACUUUAAUCCAAACCAUAAGGGGGUUAUGUAUAGCUUUUGAAACCAUAGGGGGGUUAUGUGAAAAAACGCUAAACCACAGGGGGGUAAAGUGAAAUUUGCCCUUUAAAAAAAGUUUAAUUUUAUUUCUUGAUUUUAGAAAAAAUAAAAAUAUUAAUUUAUGUACAAUUAAGUUUUUAGUAAAAUAUAAUAUAGUAUUAAAUGUAUUUAUAUAUUUUUAUAAUUGCAUAUAUGUUUGCGAACUAUUCAGGUUCGUGUUCAACUCGAUUACUAACUGAGCCUAAUAUCGUGUUUGAAUUCAAUUUAUUUGUUAAAUGAUCGAACUUUUUUCAAACAUGAACAAGUCGAACAACAUGUUCGUGAACAACUUGUUUUGUUAAAAGCUCUAAUCACCAAUGUCCAUUCUCAAAUGACUUAUGGUUUGUUCACGAUUGAUUAUUUCAACUGAUUAUAGAUUUUGAUUUAAGAUAAUCAGUUUUUGUGAUGUUCUAAGUUGCUUUUGUUUCUGAUUGUAAAUUUUUUAAUGAUAAAAAAGUUAAAAUCUAUAAUCACCCAAAGAGGUCAUUUGAUGAUUUUGAUUAUUCUCUAUAUAUAAUCAAUUUCCAUAAUUGAUUUUGUAAAAUCUAAAACAAGCGAGAACAAGGCCUCAACAUUGUCUUGCAUAAUCCUAGAAGCCUACGUAUUGUCUAAAGCUUGUUGUCAGUUUUUCAUUUGCAUGCAUUGUCUUUCCAUCACGGUCAGGCAAAAAAGGACCUCAUUCUACUUUCUAAAAACAUAUAUAUCUACUGGCCACAGGCAACGAGUGAUAUUUUUCUCUCUCUCUCUGUGUGUGUUUUCAAGAGAGACUCAAGUCUUACCAGGCAUGUACCAUAACCGUUUUGGCUGAAGUGCUUUUGCAUUUUUUUUUAUGCAUGUUGAUGGCUAGUGGAAUGGGAAGAAGUAAGACUCACCAACCAAUCAGGCAAUAGAAAUAUAUGAUCCAUCCAUCUUUGGCCAAAUCAUUUUUUGUCACUUGCUGUGGACUUCUAAUGAACUAAAUGCUAGACGACAUUUCAAUCAAGGGCCUUCAGUGAAAGAAAAAUGCCAUGAAUUCAUUGAUACAAGAGAGACGGUCUCGUGACUGCAAACAAUUUGAAUGAUUUCAUAAUAGUUUAGCCAAUGUAACCCUCUUAAUUUACUUAGGACAGGUUGGCUUCAUUAGUUGAAGAGAUUCUCAAGUGCUACAUCAUUCAAGACUUGAUAAAAAUUAAUUUUUUUUAGCUUAAUACAAAAACAACGGUUGCAUGGAUUUUUCUACAAGAAAUGAUUAAUUAGUGAGCACAGACUGACACUUUAACGUAAGACAUGGAGAGGGCAAAGCAGGUUGGCCCUAAAAAGAAUCAGACCUGUUGCAAAACCCUAAUAUAAUAACAUGUGCUUUCUGUCAGUCUUGCCUCGAAAGGUAAAAACACUUGUUUUCACACACACGCUAUGAGUUGAAUAUUGAUUUGGUUUGAUAAGGUUUAUGGUUUGGCGUAGCAAGAGAGGACAAGUUUGUAGGUAAUCGCGUAGAUUAGGCAAUUCGCAGAAACUUUGACUGCCCACAUGAGGCAGCUUAAGAAAAGCAUAUAUAAAUUUAAGGCAUCUUAAUCGAGGUGUGCAUGAACCGCCCCAGGAAAUCGCCUUUCCCAGCUACACAGUUUCUAUGUGUGAUCUAAUCAUCAAUGUUCCUGAUUGGCUGAAACUGGUGAAAAUGCAAGUUCUCUUAGAUUUCCGACUGUGCUGGAUGAUUCGCUGGACGGUUUUGUAACUCAAUUCGUGCUGGACGAUUUAGAUUUUCUGGAUUAUAGUUCUCUUGAAUUUGUAACUCAGUUCGUAUUAGAUGAUCAUUUCUAGCAAUCUUUGUAAUUAAGUUCCUUCCUUUUUUUUUUUUUAAUGAAAAAAGGAAGAAAUGUAAGCCGUGUUGUACUAUUUUGGAUUCAACAUCGAACUAGUAGCUAGGGUUUUGAGAUUUGAGCUAUAAUCUUUUCAUUAUUUUUCGAAAAAUACCUUCCCGGCCUGACUGAAAUUGACUGUCUUAGUUUGGGUGUGGUGGAUCUCUCUUGUCAAAUUCAUUUUAUAUAAUACUUUUCCUGGCAUAGGCUGAUUUGUUACCCAAACAGCCAAAAAAAAAAAAAAAAAAAUGGAGCCAAGUGAGAGUUUUGAAAGUUCAAAAGAUCUCAGUGACACUUUCCAAAACCUCAAGGGAGGUCUGUGAAAUUAUCUCCAGAAAAAAAAUGAAAAGAUUUGACAAUCAAGUCAUACGUUUUGUUUGGAAAAAGUUGUAAGUUUUGCAUAAUAAAAUGAAAUGCUUUACUUUAAAAUUAGUAAAUUUGCUGAUGGUGUGGCAAAUAUUCUGAAAAAUAGUGAGAUUUGUUAAAGAAGUCAUACAUUUUGCUUGAAAAAGUAGUAAGUUUUCAAUACAAAUUAUAAGUUUUGGAAAAAAAGUGAUAAUUUUUUUUUGUUAAAAAACUAGUUAGAUUUAUUAUUUAAAGAGUAAGGUAGAUAAAGUGUGAAACCUACUUCUUCUCUGCAAAAAUUUACUAUUAGUUGUACUAAAUUUACACCGCAAUUUUGUCCUUGGUAAAACCUGUAAUAACAGGUUAGAACUUAUACUUGGCAUCACAUACAACUCAUUCGCAAGUUAUAGUGAUUCCUUGUCACUGCACUACUGUCCUCAAGUAUAACCUCUCAUUAUGUCAUUCUGGAUAUUAUUCAAAAUAGUUACUCAUGUUAGUGUACUUAAAUAAUUAUGGUAUUAUACUUCGAGAUUUUUAUUUUUAUUUUAUUUUUUGGGGUAUGCUCUAUUUCUCUUACUUUAUAUGUUAAUCUAAUCAUUUAUAACUAUUCAUUCACAAAUUUUAUAAUCGUUCAAGUAGUACUAUGGCUUAAAGUAGACCAAAUCCCUUUCCAGUUUGAUCCCCGUGCAUGGAAAGGAAUAUCCUUUCCAAAUCUUUAUCGUUCAAGUUUUCCUGUCUUGAAGCAACCAACAACAAAUCCAUAUCUUGUAUUUCUUGGACAAUCAAGAAUCGGUGGGGUAAAAGAUUAGCCCAAUCCCUCAUGUAUACAGCCAUCAUUGAAAUCAAUCACCAAUCUGGCAGGCGCCUCUUCACACGAUCAGCCCAAAAAAGGGCUUGAGGCUGCAUUAAUUGAUUCACACAUUUCUUUCUUUGUUAUUUUAUUUUUAAUCUCCUUAGACCACAUAUUUUUUUUAAUUUUUUUCCCACACAUCUUUGUUUUUUUAUUUUAUUUUUUUAGCUUUCAUAUUCUACUUCUACUCCUACUCUAUACUAAGGGAGAGGGGAUGGAUCCAAAUGAAUCAAGGGAGAAUUCGGAAGGGAUUGAACUGUCAUCGAAUCAAACGGAUGCUUUUGCACUUGAUGAAACUUUUAAAAAAUCUUGGAAAUGAAUGCAAGUCGCAUGCAGGAUUCCUGGUGGCCAACCACUCUGCCACACAUCUUUGUUUGUUACUAGUAAUGUUAAUAUUCCUGUAAUAAUAAAGUAAACUUUAUAUAAAAACAAUAAUUUUUUUUAAGUAUGUAUUAACUGCCAAGAUACAAUCAGAGUUUGUUUAGUUUAAACCAACUCCAUUUGGUCCGGAAACAUGAACUCCUUUUUGAUAAACCACCAGGGCUCCAGCUCGUUACAUUUGAAGUAAUAGGGAAAAACAAAAUUUGCCACAAAGAGGAAAAUUUGUUGAAGCACUUUUAUCACAAAAGGGGUUCACAAAUUCCAAAUAAUUCGAGAAAAACAACUAUCUAGUAUAAACAAUAAGGAGAACAAAAAUUAAAUUUAUUGAGGGACCAUUGUCCUAGAAUUUAGGACUUAUAUAUCUUUUGGCCAAUGUAUAGCUAUUUUUACAACUGCAUAAAAGUUACAAUUGCUACGUUUCUUUCCCAAGUUCUUAAAUAGAAUUUAUCUAAUCAAAAGAGUGAAAAACAAUAAUUAGGUCCAAUCAAGGAAUUUUCUAUACUCUUGUUCUUGGUGCAACAGCAGUAUAAGAUUUGAGGAACCAGUGUAAUUUGUUAUUAGUUCGUGAACCGAAUAAUUUCCUCCACCAGUGACCUGCUAUAGAAAGAAACAAAAUACAGUAGUGCUGUACAGACUAAUUUCUUCACAAGAUUACCAGUAAUUCUUGUUAGUGGGAUCAAUAUUCACAACUUGUAAAACUAGAUAUCGGGAUAUAUAACUCCUAAGCGCUCAAGCAACAAUUUUAUGAUUUAUAUUUUCUUCCUCUUAACCAAUAAAUGGAAUUGCUUCAUUUAUUGGUCAAGUCCCAAAUUAACACCGACUUGGAUUUGAGAUUGGAUUCGAGAUAAGCAAGCAAUGUUAGAUCAAAAGUAAAGAAAACUAUACCCUACAUAGGGCAGAUUGUGGCAUCUUCUUGAUUUGCUUUUGCAAUUCACUGCAUUGUUCACAAGAGUCGAAACAGGAAAAGAUUGGCACUUGGCAGUUGGCAGCAAGCACGUCUUAAAUGGUUUUUGCUGCUUGUCUACCCUUUUCCCCCCAUUUUAGAAAGGAAAUGGUGGGAUUUAAAAAGCCAAAAAAGGAAAAGAUGGAUUAAAAUCUUUAAGGUCUAGAUUCUCAACCUUAACUAUUAGGCCAAAAUCUCCUCAGCUCCUUGUCUCCUUAACUAACAUGACUGGCUCGAUUAUUGAUUAUUUUGUCUACUCAAUCAGUUUUAAAAGUAUUGACACCAUGCACACUAAAACUAAAGCAAUGGCGUAUUUCAUUAUGGAGGAAUUCAAGUAGAAAAGGAUUGCCAAAAAAAAAAAAAAAAAAAAAACGGUUGAGUCAUUGCCGUAAUCAAUAUUUCUAUCAAAAUCUAAGGGUGCAAAGUGGAAUAAACCCUUGACAGUAAUCAAAGAUCAUUUUAGAAACUUUGGAAUUCUAAGAGUUGAAGAUUGAAAAAAUAAAUAAAUUUUAAUAUCGAGCGGUUUUACAAUUAGAAGACUCGUCCUUAAAUUUUGCUUAAGCAUUACAAGCUUAGUGAAAUUCAAUGGUAAGUAACUAAGAUUUAUUAGAAAUUAAAACAAGUUCUCAACCUUAACUAUUAGGCCAAAAUCUCCUCAGCUCCUUGUCUCCUUAACUAACAUGACUGGCUCGAUUAUUGAUUAUUUUGUCUACUCAAUCAGUUUUAAAAGUAUUGACACCAUGCACACUAAAACUAAAGCAAUGGCGUAUUUCAUUAUGGAGGAAUUCAAGUAGAAAAGGAUUGCCAAAAAAAAAAAAAAAAAAAAAACGGUUGAGUCAUUGCCGUAAUCAAUAUUUCUAUCAAAAUCUAAGGGUGCAAAGUGGAAUAAACCCUUGACAGUAAUCAAAGAUCAUUUUAGAAACUUUGGAAUUCUAAGAGUUGAAGAUUGAAAAAAUAAAUAAAUUUUAAUAUCGAGCGGUUUUACAAUUAGAAGACUCGUCCUUAAAUUUUGCUUAAGCAUUACAAGCUUAGUGAAAUUCAAUGGUAAGUAACUAAGAUUUAUUAGAAAUUAAAACAAGCGUCAUGUUUUAUUUCAAGAUCUAUUUUAGAAAUAGUGAGGGCAAAUGUAAAAUAUUUCAAUAGUCUUUGGGGACAAAUUUGGGACUAGCUAGAUAGAAAACUUUGAAAGAUCAGGAGUCAAGAGCGAGGCGAUACUAAAGAGCUAAACUUUUUAUAUGUUAUUGUAUAGUUUUCAAAAAAUUGAAGGCGUGCGAUUGCAAACGUAGGAUAUAUAUAGCUCCGCCCCUUGUAUUGCUGUUAGUUUGCAUCUCUAAUACUUACCAAAUUCAACCAAAUAUAUAGUAAACUACUUGAGCAUUACCUUGUAGAAAAUCAUGUUGUACUCCAAAAAAAGAAUUAGUCGAAAUCAUGUUCUAUUAAUUUGAUUUAAGUUUCUCCUUCUUCUAUUAUGACAAAAUACUUCAAAACAUGAAGGCACAUUCUCAAACGAAAAGUCUAAAGAAGGGAAGAGAAGUUACCAUAACUCACAAAAUGGAUGGCUAAUGUGAUUCCACGUGCAGGUUUUCACUUGCUAUUAUAGGUUUUACUACUGACAAAUUUGUGGUGGUAGAUUUAGUGCAACAAACAGUAUGUUUUGUUAUAAAAGAAGUAAAUUUCAAGAUUUAUGUAACUUACUCUUUAAAUAAUGAAUCCUACUAGUUUUUUUUUUUAGCUAAAAUUACCACUUUUUCUCCAAAACUUACAAUUUAUAAAGCUUACCAUUUUUUCAAGAAAAAUUUAUAAUUUUGUUAACAAAUCUUAUCACUGUUUAUUAGUAAAAUUUACUAUAUCAUUAACAAGCCUUGCUAAUUUUUAAGAAAAGUUAUCGUUUUUAUACAAAAACUUACUACUUUUUCAAUGAGUACCAGUUUUGAGUUUUUUUUUUAAAGUAAAACCAGGAAUUGAUAGGGGGUUAGGCCUAGAGCUGACGUGUUUAUUAAAAAUAUUCAAUGAGUACUUGACAAAGAGGAUAUAGCUCACAAUUAUGACUAAAUAAAAAUUGGAUGGGGCUAAAUCCAUACUUCUACGAUCUAAAUCCACAUCCUUAUAACUAAGUUGACCAAAAAACCCAUAGCAUUAUAAGGCUUGGUAGAGACUUUUUCAAUAAAAAAAAAUUAGCCCUUUUUUGUUCAAAAUAGAUAGUUCUCAUUUGGAUUUAAAAUUUCUAUCAUUAUGAAUGGUCUUAACAUUUCUGACAUUUUUUGUAUUCAUUUUGAUGGCAUUUAUUUUUUCCUCUUAUUUGGUGGGGAGAAUGUUUUUAUCUCUUUUUAUCAUGUUCAGAGCAGAUGAGAGAUUUUUUUUAUUUGUGUUAAGAAAUUAUUUUUGCCAUUUUGGCAUAUUGCACUUCAAAGUUGAUUGAAGAAUAAUUUUAGAAAACGCUAAUAGAUCAAUAAUUAGGAUGAUGGUAUCAAAUAAUUUCAAUUAAUUAAAACUUAUGAUUGAUUUUUUAAACUUCUUUUGGCUCCAUUUGGAUUAGCUGUUUUUGGAGGUAUUUUUUAAAAACUUUACUAUAGCUGUGUAUAUGAAAAACUUUUGCUGUAGAUGUUUUUUGGAUUAUUUUUAGAGGUAUUUUUAAAAAAUAUUUUUUGAGUAUUUUUAUAAUUUACAAUUUUUUUGAGAUUUUUUAAAAAUAUAUACUGGCUCUGUUUCUAUGUGUUAAUAUUUAUUUAUUUAUAUAUAGAUAUAUAUAAUAUUUUUUAUUUCAAUUUUAUUUUAUAACAUGUAUAUUUAUAUAUAAUAUAAAUAUAUUUUACAAAUAUAAUAUGUAUAUUAAUAUAUAUUUAAUAUACAUUUAUAAAUAUAUAUAUUAAUAUGCAUAUUAUAAAAAAAAUUGAAAUAUAUAUAUAUUUAUAUAUUUAUAUAAAUAUAUAUAAAUAAAUAUAUUUUAAACAAAAUAUUUAAUAUUUAUAUAUAAAUAAAUAUUUAUUUCAAUUGAUAUAAUAUAUAUAAAAUAUACAUAAUUGAAAUAUACAUAUUAAUAUUAAUAUAAUUUAUAUAUAUAUAAUAUAAUAUACAUAAUUGAAAUAUAAAAAUUAAAAUAUACAUAUUAAAAUAUACUAAUAUACAUAUUAUAAAACAAAAUUGAAAUAUAAAUAAAUAUAAAUAUAUUUUUAAAAAAUAUUUAAAAUUUAUAUAUAAAUAUAUAUUUAUUUCAAUUGAUAUAAUAUAUAUAAUAUACAUAUUAAUAUAUAUAAUUGAAAUAUACAUAUAAAUAUUACUAUAAUUUUUAUACAUAUAAUAUAAUAUACAUAUUAAUAGUACUAUAAUUUAGAUAUAUAUAAUAUAAUAUACAUAAUUGAAAUAUACAUAUUAAUAUAUAUUAAUAUACAUAUUAUAAAACAAAAUUGAAAUAAAUAUAUUUAUAAAUGUAUAUAAAUAUAUAUAAAUAAAUAUUUUUAUAAAUAUUUUAAAAGAUUGACCAUAAAAGUUUUUCUUUUGCAGUGUAAUAAGCAAAAAUAUAUUCUUUUUGGGUUAGAAGGCAAUUAGCACAAAUAUGUUUGUGAUAAUACAUGAGCCCUAUAAGGACAUUUUGGGGCUGUCGCACAAGCUUUUGGCAACAUUACCAGCGGCUGAAGACGUCAAGGGGGAGUUUUGUUAAACGUUUGCUCAUUCAGGGUUAGAUUAUUAUUUGGCGAAAUCUCAGGGUUUGAUUGGUAAUUUGAUCAAACAUCAAGAAAGAUAAAUGUGAUUAAUCCUUUGUUAAUCCAGUCAUAAAUUUGGCUUAAAAAAGUAGUAGUAUGUUUUGUAUAUAAAAAUGGCAACUUUUACUAGAUGUGGUAAGAUUUGUUAACAAAAUCAUUAGUUUGCUCCAUCUGAAAAGGGUAAAUUCUGGAAAAAAUAAGUGGUAAUAAUAUUUUUUUCUAAAAAUCUAGUAGGAUUUGUUAUUUAAAUACUAAGUUACAUAAAUUAGCAAACUUACUUGUUUUAUGCAAAAAUUUACUAUUAGUCACACCAAAUUUACUACCACAAUUUAUGCUUAUGAAAAAAAGUUACGUCAUAUAUUGUAAAAUUGUUCAUAAUGCAGUGCACAAGCACAGGUAAAUUUUCUGGAACCGUUUGAAUUAACUGGAAUAAUUCAUCAGGGCUCUUUUUCCACACUCAUCUUCAGGCGCUAUUGAUUCUUUUGGCCAUCGAUCACAUGACCACACAUCAAUGUGUGUUAAUAAUAAAAGUAUAAACUCUAUUAAACAUCAAACGAGAAAAGAACAAUGGAGAAAGAACAUUUUACAAACAGCGUUGGACUGAAUUAUGCAGUCACAAAGUUACAGCUAGCUGCAUCAUGUCGUACCGGAAACUUGAGAGAAGUGGCUCUGUUUCUAAGGGACUUGGCUCAAUUGACUCUGUUUCUGAGCUGCUUGAUUCUUCAUCUGUUUCUGAGGGACUCGAUCCUCCUCCUCCUAUUUCUGAGCUGCUUGAUUCUUCAUCUGUUUCUGAGGGAGUUGAUCCUCCUCCUGUUCUUCCUCCUCCUCCUAUUACAAUCUUUAGAACGUCAUUUCCCACAUCCACCUGUGCUUGUUGAAUUUCUUUCACUGAACUUACAACAGACUCACCACACCCUUUCACCUCAAUCAUUUCAAGAGUAGCACAUUCCCCUAAAUAAGAAGGCACCUCUUCCAGCUUCCUACAUUCGUGCACAAUCAAUUUCUCAAGACGGGGAAAAUUAUCAAAAGAUGCAGUCCAGCUGCGAAAUCGCAAGCUAGACAAUUUCAAGGCUCGGAGGUUGGGGAAUUCCCCAUCUUUCAUUUCCCAUUCUUCCCCAUCGAAGGAGCGAUGGAGUAAUUUAAGCACUUCAAGAUUGGGCAAUUUUCCAACUGUUGAAAUUUCACUCCAUGGCUGACGAUUACGUGAGAGAGUCAACUUCUUCAAAUUCAAUGGGAAUUUAAAUCCAUAUCCAGCAAAAAAUGAUAGAUUGAGCGAUUCUAGUUGACUCAAAGGCUCAAACACGAGAAUCCGGUCACCAAUUCUGGUAGGUUCUUCUCCUGAUUCGUAGGAUCUCGUGCAUUUUAGCUUGCGGAUGCUUGGAAACUUUGUCAGUAUCUUUUGCAAGCUUUGAGAGGAGGGAUCAAUGGCAAGGUUUAAAGUCUUUAAAUGAUCUAAACGCGGGGAUACCUCAAGAUUUUCAAUGGUAAAAAUAAAACCACAAUCGUCACCUGCAUAUAGAUGCCUCAAUGUCUUAAUGUUCCAGAUGGUCUUCGGUAAAUAGCACAUUGAGUUUCCUUCUAUCCAAAAUGUUUGCAACCUUGAGAGGUUGGCUAUUGCAGAUGGGAUGGAUAUUACUCCUUUAGUAUCAACCAGCAAGAAUCGCAAGUGAACAAGCAAUACUAAUUCCGUCGGAAAAUCUGCAACAAACUUGACGCCUCCCAAAAGCAACACUCUAAGAAGUUUAGGUAACGAAAACUCCAAAUCCAACGGAGAAAAAGAAGAACCUUGAUCCAACAUGAUGGUGCGUAAAUUAGGAAAAGACAGCAUUAACUCCCGAGUCUUCAAUUUCGUGGAAUUUGCAUCAUGAACUCGGUAGGGGUUGCUUAGGCUAGUAAGACUAAAAGGAUCUUUCCCACGACGAAUAAUAUGUAUAAAGUUCUCUUCUUUGAUUUUUCCUACACAAAACUCGUGUACCAAACUAUGAAGCCUGCAGCUUUUGGCACCACCCAUACUUCUUUGUUUGAUAACCAUAACUAAACUUCUAUCAACCAGAGCCUUCAAGUAGUUGUCGGCCACAUCCUCCAAGUCCUUUCCUUCAGUUUUUUGUACAAAUCCUUCAGAGAUCCAAAGCCAUGAAAGACCGCUGACACGAAUGCUUUUGCCUUCUGAAAAUGCACAAAAGUAAAGAAGGCAUGAUUUCAAAUCAUCGGGUAAAUGACUAUAACUCAGCUCAAGUGUCUUCCUGCAGUAUUCAUCGUCAAGAAUAAUACUGGAACUUAGACUAUUUGCAACUUCUGCCCAGCAAUCUUCAGCAGUAUUAACUAGAAUUCCAGCCACAAGGACAACUGUGAGAGGCAAGCCCCUACAAAAUUUUGCUAUUUGAGAUCCAACUUCAAUUAGUCUCGGAGGACAUCCUUCUUUGCCAAAUAGCUUUUUUUGCAGCAAUUUCCAACUCUCUUUAUCAGUAAGCUGGCGGAGAUGGUGAGCCUUGCUAUCGGGGCUGAAUUGCAAUUCAAUUCUGCUGGUAAAGAGAAUCCUGCUUCCAUUACCAUCAUCAGGCAAUGAACCUUUGACCAAAUUCCACACCUCAAUCUCCCACACAUCAUCCAAAAUAACGAGAUACCUAUUUCCCUUCAAACGCUUGUAGAGCAUUUCAGCCAAAUCAUCUUCGUCCAUCUUAAGAUAUUGGCUGUGACUCCCAGCAGAAAUACUACACAAAAUCUGAAGUAACAAAUCAUGUAUGCUAUAUACUUGAUAAACUGUACACCAAGCAAGGAUAUGAAAGUGGCCUGAAAUUAAUGGAUCAUUGUAAACUCUGUUGGCCAAUGUUGUCUUACCAAGUCCAGCCAUACCCACAAUUGGAACAAGAUCCAACAGCUUUGAACCCCUCGUAAGUCUAUCAAUAAUUGUCUUUACCUCAUCAUCAAGAACUUCAUUCAACACUGGGGUGCUACGUUUUGACUCAAUGUGGAAAGAUUUCCGGUUAGUUCUCUGAGCUCCAGUGUCAUGCCUCGUGCACUCAUAUGUUUCAAUCUCAGUCCUCAAAAGCUGGAUAUCUCUGACAACACUUUCCAAAUAUUCGUGUUUAUCACCAAUCACAAUAGAGUCAAUGACAAACUCUGUCCUGUAAGCAACCUCUAUAACACGACUCCAAAGAGCUUGGAGUUUUCCAUUCCGGUUGCGCUGGUCUACCAUCUUGCCAAGAAAAGAUCUUAAGAAUACAAGAUGAUCUAGGACUGUGUGGAUUUGAUCAUUUGGGAAUGCAAUUGAAUCAUCAGCCCCAUUACAACUUUCCAGUUCAAUCAGAUUUUCAAGGAGAAAAUCCAUAGAGCCCAACUCAUUGGUUCUAGGAAAACCAAAUGGCGAUACUGAUGUUACUGGAUAAACCUGUGCAACUUCUGCCCUAACAAACUUGAGCAAUUUGAGCAAAUGAAAAAGAGCAAAAUCAGUUUCCUUGGCCAAGCCUUCUUUGAUCAAUUGAUUCACAGAAAGGGAGAAAAUUACUAUUGCUGCAUCACAGACCACAACUCCAAUAAGACUCUUCAUUUCAAGGCGUAGCUCUUUGAACUUCUCCGGAUGCCUGAGAAGGGUUGACAGGAACCUUAGCCCGUCAAGGAGUUUUUGCAUGUGAAAUAUGAUUGGAACCAGAAUACUGGUACAAGAUUCUAGUAGCUCUGUAAUAUUGUGAACAAGACAAUCCACAAAGUCAACUACUAUAUGCUUAUUCUUCUCCAGAGCUGAAAUGUCUGAUGAUCUUGACAACUUUGAGGCAGUCAAGACAUGGGUAUAAGUUUCUCGAACUCGUGGAUCAGUGGGAAUAAUCUUCUCACCUAUUAGUUGAGAAAUUUGAAGUUCCGUUUCAUUGCGUACUUCACCUUCUCUGUCAAACCACCAUAUAGAAAUCAGGCGGAGUGCAUUGAUAGCCACCACUUCAGAGUGAAUUAAGAGAUCCAUCAAUUGCUGACCCUCGACACCGUGAAGCAUGGCAAAUCGAAUGAAACUUUUCAGGAACAUUAGCUUCUCUCCAAGGGUUUCGAAUACUUCCCUUUUGCGAAGCUUUGACAGAUUCUUUGAAACCGAAUCAAUGAAAUCAAUAACUAGAUCAGGAACCCUCAGCCAGUAAUGGUCCAACAGAAAGUUGAUGUUAGAUUCCUUGAUAUCUGUCUCGAAAAACAGCUCGAUUGCUUCCUGGAAUAUGGUGAGCUCACUUUUGAUCUGAGUCAAACCAGGUAAACGAGAACGCAUCAAGUAUUCCCAGCAAGCAAAAUCAAGGUCUUGCAUUCCUGCGAUAAUCAGACUUUGAAUUCUGAAAGAAGUAACAUCCUUCUCCUCCACAUCUUGUUCCAGACAGAUUUCAUGGUUCCUCCUCCUCUUCCUCUUACACUUUGUCAGAUACAGAUCAAAGCUUUGUAAUAAGCUGACCUCGAUCUCCAGACCCUCGAUAUAAAAGUGCAACUCAUAUUUGAAGGUCUUGUUCAACCAGUCCAGAUAAUCUAGAGCGAAAUCAAAGCAAUCAGUGCUACUACUGCAGGAUAUCUCCAUUAUUAUUGUAACUUCUAUCCACUCUGAGAUCAGAUUUGUGUCUUGAACUUAGUCAGCUAUUGCCGGCGAGACUCUUUUCUUGUUACAAGUUGCAACUUGCCAGGCUAAUUUCUAAUCUUGCCCUGUUGUGCUCAUGGAGACGUGAGGGGCCUAAACGAGCCAGCUGCCAAAGUUCAUUCCCAUACAGUGGACUAUUUUAGACGGCGUAGAAAAUGACAUACAUGACAAUGAAAAGUCACCGUGACUAAUAAUAAAAUACUAGCCCAACAUUGAACGUUCGAGCUGAAAAUAUGAAAAUUGAAGAAAUAAAGCAUCCCCUUAAAAAUAAAAUUAGUGUACUUAAACAAUUAUGGUGUUAUACUGGGUGAAUUUUUUGGUUGUUCGCUCUAUUUCUCUUACUCUGAUCUGUUAGUUUAAUCAUAUUUAUAACUAUUUACUCACAAAUUUUAUAAUACAAGAAGUCUUUGUUGUUGAAGUAGCAGUAAGACUUGAAAUGGAACCAAAUCCGUCCCAAAUUGAUCCCCCUGCAAUGAAAGGUGUUUCAAACUAGUAUCUACAUUAAUGUUUAAAAGUCCAACUCUAGCAUCAAGAGUUCUUUUCCUAAAAAGUAAAAAUUUCGUUUUAAUUUUUCUCAUCACUCUUACAUGUUUAUGCUCUAGUUUAAUGGGUCAAAAUCUCAGGAUUUAAAGAUUUUGGGUUUAAAAUUUUAAAUUUCCCCUCCCGCCUCUUGAAAAUUCCACACAGCCCUACCAAAAAUAAAUUUAAAAAUAUAACAGCUUAAAGAUAUUUUCUUAGUUACCAUCAAGUUUGACCUCCAAGACAAUAAAGGAGCCUUUUGUUAUUAAAAAGAAGGGUAAAAACAAAAAAACCCUUAUGGUAAGCCUUUAACAGAUUCCGUCACCUUUACAAUUUAGUUCAAAGCAUGAGGGGUCGUGUUGUAUAUUUUAAAAUCAUGAGGAACUUUUCUGUGUAUUAGAUUUAUCACAGGGAAUUUUUUUAUUUUUUACCCUAAAAAGAAUUGUUCAACUAAAACAUACUUUAAAAAAAUAAAUAAUCACACAUUGUUCAUAACUAGGUUCAAUUAAGUCAUUUUCCAUAUUCUUGGUCACGGUGCAACAGCAAUCUAAGAUUUGAGGGACCAGUCUAGCUUCUUGUCAGUCUAAGAUUUGAGGGACCACACAAUUUUCUAUUGCAAGAAACAAAAAACAGUAGUGCUAUUUCUUCACAAGAUCACCAGUAAUUCUUGUUAGUGGGAUCAGUGCUAACAUAUUACAGUUCCCAUAAAUUCACAACUUGUAAAACUAGAUAUCAUGGUCACGGUUCCAGAACCGCCGGUUCUUCAAAGAGGUAGAAUCAGAACUACACCAUAUAAGAUGGUUUUGGUUCUGGUUCUAAAACCGCCGGUUCUGGUUCUUCAAAGAGGUAGAACCAGAAUCGCAUAGUUCUGAUUUCGGUUCUUUAUGGUUCUGGUUCUGGUUCCGUAUGGUAUCCUACAAUUUUAUUUAAUUCUUUAUCCUUACCAUACGAAUAUAACAAUAUAUUUAAAAUUUCAAAUUGAAUGUACAAAAAUAAAUACAAAAUAAAGAUCAUAUUUUAAUUUUAUUAUUAUUCUACAAAGUAAGAAGUAAUAAAUAGACAAUACAAAUUUUAUGAAAAGUACAUUAUAUUAUCAAAUUAAAAAAUACAUUACACUAUCAAAUGGUUGUCAUGUGUUGACUUUCUUGAGUUGGACAAUCAUCAAUGUUGAAGAUUUCAUUUGAAGAAAUAUUGCAAAAAAUAUUUUUUUUGCUUGCAUGAUUUUGAAGAUGAGCUACUACCAUCAAAACUUGCAAAACUUGCCAUUUUUUGAUAGCAAAUAAGCAAAAAAAAAAAUUGUAAGUAAUAAUUUAAUACUUACAAAUUAUAAUGAUAGAUAUUAGACGAAUAGAAAUAAUUAAAUAAUUAGUAAAAUAUAUAGAAAGUCCAUAAAAUUUAAACUUUCUUAAAACCUAUUAAACACAACUAAUUUUUUUGAAUUAUCUCACUACUUAUAUUAAUUAUUUUUAACGGUUCUGAAACCGGCGGUUCUGGUUCUGGUUCUAUUUUUAGAGAAUCGGAACCGGAACCUUUAUCCAAGGUUCUGGUUCCAUGGUUCUGGUUCCGGUUCUGAUCCGAUUCCAAACGGUCCGGUUCCUGGUCCGGUUCCCAAUUCCAAAUGGAACCAUGGCCAUGCCUAGAUAUCAUGGUAUCUAACUCUUCAGUGCUUAUGCAACAAUCUUAUGAUUUAUAUUUUCUUCCUUUUAACCAAGAAAUGGAAUUGCUUAAUUUAUUGGUCAAGUCCCAACACCAAGUUGGAUUUGAGAUGAGAGAACAAUAUCAGAUCAAAAGUAAAGCAACUAUACCCUACAUAAAGCAAAGUCAUGUCGGCCAAAUCCAUAAUAGAUUCAUAAUUGAAAACUUCCAAAAUCAACCACAUUAUGUUGUCUAACUAACAUUUUGUAAUGGAUGAAUUAUCAUCCUAUUAAUCGACAAUACUGCGUACAAUUAAAAGAUUUACCGGAAGAAUUGGUUAUCAUAUCAAUCAACAAAUGCAUAUGUCAUAUCAUUUCAAUUUGAAUUUAAAUUUCAAAUUUUGCACAUAUGACAUGUUUCUAACCCUAUUUAUGUAUACACUGAUAAUGUAUAAAAGAUUUAGUCUAAUUUUUAUAUCAAUUUUUAUGAGAAAGGCUAUUUAUGGAAGCCAAUAUGUAUUUUUUCUAUUGGAGUCUAAUAAGCAAAACAUAUUCUUUUUGGGUUGGAAGGUAAUAAGCAAAAAUGUGUUUGUAAUAGUACUGGAGCUCCCUCCAUAAGGACACUUUGGGGCUGUAACACAAGCUUUUUACAGUGUUACUAACGGUUGAAGACGUCGGGGGCGUUUUGCCUAACGUUUGCUCAUUCGGGGGUUAGAUUGCUAUUUGACCAAAUCUCAGGAUUUGAUUCGUAAUUUGACCAAACCACAAGGAAGAUAAAUGUGAUUAAUCCUUUGUUAAUCAAGUCAUAAGUUUUGCUUGAAACUGUAGUAAGGAUUGUAUUAAAAAAUGGUAAGUUUUACUAGUGAAUUAACAAGAUUCGUUAAUGAUGUUGUAAAUUUUACUAAAAAAAAGUGACAAGAUUUGUUAAUAAAAUCAUUACUUUGCUUUAAAAAGUAGUAAGUUUUAUUUAAAAAAAGACAAAUUCUAAAACAAAAUGAUAAUUUUUUUGCUAAAAGUAUUUGUUAUUUAAAUAGUAAGUUACAUAAAUUAUGAAACUUACUUGUUGUAUGGAAAAACUCACUGUUUAAUUUACUACCACAAUUUAUUUUUAUGAAAGAAAGUUAUGUCAUAUAUUGUCAAAUAGUUUGUAAAGCAGUGCACAAGCACAGGUAAAUUUUCUGGAACCGUUUAAAUUAACUGGACGAAUUCAAGGCCCUUCUUCCACAACUCUCUUCAGGGCUAUUGGUUCUUUUGGCCUUUGAUCACUGUGUGUUAAUAAUUCAAAAAAAAAAAAAGAAAGAAAGAAAGAAAGAAACUUGACUUCCCAAAUAUAACAUUGCAAGCAACAUUUUAUGAGUCUAUGUUUUUCCUUUUCCUACAAACUAAAAGAUGAAACACCAAAGAAAAAGUUUUAGAAUAUUUACCUUCUUUAGACUUCCAAAAGCACUGGUAAUUACAGGAAGUUUGUGCAUGAAAAUAGUGUAAAGAAGAAAGACACACAUUAAGAUAACUCUUGCACAAGUUUUUGGAUUUUGUUUUCCUUUCGGCUUGAUAUCCAAAGCUAUUUCUAGACCUAAUGCCAAUGAAAAUGGGCUGCGUGUAACAACAAUACGCAAAUUGUAUCAGACAACCAUUUGAGGCAAAUUAUACUAUUCUUUUGCUACGCCCUUUCUCUAUCGGGAAGUAACAUAACCAAGUUUUUUUUUUCUUUUUCCUCGUCUCUUCUUAAUAUUUGUUGCAAAAACAAAAACUAUUUUAUGUUUUACCAUGUUAAUUAAUUGAGUGUAUGGUUCUUUGUCGAGGAAAAACAGAAGCAAGUCACAAGUUUCUGCACUACUCUGACUGAAAUACAAAGAAAGGAGAGACAAGUGUAUCUUGCAUGUAUGCAUGGGCAUGCUCAGCUAGCUUUAAGCAUCAUAUCAAUCUGUAGCAGCAUUGACGAAGAUUUUGCGAGUUGAGAUUAUAAAAUGAUAAAAUCCAUUAAACAUCAUCGAACCAGAAAAGAACAUGGAGAAAAGUUUAGACAUAGACUCUGAUAGUGCUUGCCACUGCAGUUACGAAGUUCUGGCCAGCUGCAUCAAGUCAAACCGAAAAAAAAAAAUUGGGAAGCUCCAGAAAUUGCUUUGAAAAAACCUUGAAAUCAGACUCCUUGUGAGGGAAUUGACUCUGUUUCUGAGGGAAUUGGCUCUUCUUAGCCAAUCCAUGCAUCACCACAUUGUUCAAUAACUAUCUUUAGAUCUUCAUUUCCCAUGUCCAUCUGUUCUUGUUGAAUUUUCUCCACUGAACUGACAACAGACUCACCACACCGUCCCACCUCGAUCGCUUCAAGAGUCGGACAUUCCCCUAAACAAGAAGGCACCUCUUCCAGCUCUCGACAAUUAUACAAUACCAAUUGCUCAAGACGGGGAAAAUUAUCAGAAGCAGCAGUCCAUCUGCGAAAGUCUAAGCGUGCCAAUUUCAAGACCCGAAGGCUAGGGAACUCCCCUUCUUCCUUUACCCAUUCUUCCCCAGCAAAGGCUUCAUGCUUUAAUUUGAGCACUUGAAGAUUGGGCAACUUUCCAAUCGUUGAAAUUUCACUCCAUGGCUGCUUAUUAUCUGAGACAGUCAAUUUCUUCAAAUUCCUUGGGAAUUUAAAUCCAUAUCCUGUAAAAUAAGACAGAUUAAGUGAUUCUAGCUGACUCAAACAGUCAAACUCUAGAAUCCCUCCACCAUUUCCGAUUCUGACACCCGUUAUUGAACAUUUUAGCCUGCGGAUGCUUGGUAACUUUGUCAGUAUCUUUUGCAAGCUUUGAGAGGAGGGAUCAAUGGCAAGGUUUAAAGUGUCUAGAUGAUCUAAACAUGGGGAUACUUCAAGAUUUUCAACAGGAAAAGCAAAACCGCCAUUGGUAGUAUAGUAGAGAUGCCUCAGUGUCUUAAUGUUCCAGAUAGUCUUCGGUAACAAAAAAUAUCUUGAGUAUCCUCUUACCAGAAAAGUUUGUAACCUUGAAAGGUUGGAUAUUUCAGGUGGGAUGCUAUUUAUUCCUGUAAUAUAAAGAGCUAAGUAUCUCAAGUGAACAAGCAAUACUACUACCAUCGGAAAAUGUGCAUCAAACUUCAAGUUCCUUAAAUCCAGCACUCUGAGAAGUUGAGGUAACCAAAGGCUGAAAGCAUCCUCUUUAAACAAUAACAAACUGCGUAAAUUGGGAAAAAGUAGCAUUAAAUCCCAAGUCAUCAAAUUUCUGGCAUUUUGAUCACAAACUCGGUGGCGGUUGCUUGGGAUAGUAAGAAUAAUGGGAUCAUUCUGACUAUGAAUAAUAUGUAGAAAAUUUUCUUCUUUGGCUUUUUCUACACAAAACUCAUGUACCAAAUCAUGAAGUCGGCAGGCUUUGGCACCACCCCUAGUUCUGUGUUCAGAAACCAUAACUAGACUUCUAUCAACCAGAUCCUUCAAGUACUCAUCUGCCACAUCCUCUAGGCUCUUUUCUUCAGUCUUCUGCACAAAUCCUUCAGAGAUCCAAAGCCAUAACAACCUUCGAAUUGGAACAUUUUUGUCUGCUCGAAAUGCACUAAAGUAAAGAAGGCAUGGCUUCAAAUCACCUGGUAAAUGACUAUAACUCAACUCAAGUGUCUUCAUGCAAUAUUCGUCGUCAAGGACAAUACUGGAACUUAGACUUUUUGCAACUUCUUGCCAGCAAUUUUGACCAGUAGUAGCAAGAAUUCCAGCAACAAGGACAACUGUGAGAGGUAAGCCCCUACAGGAUUUUGCUAAUUGAAAUCCAACUCCACUUAGUUUUGCAGGACAACCUUCUUUGCCAAAUAGCUUGUUUUGCAGCAAUUUCCAACUCUCUUCAUCGGUAAGGGGGCGGAGAUGGUGAACUUUGCUAUCAAGUUUGAGUUGCAAAAACAAAUUCUGCAAUCUGCUCGUUAUAAGAAUCCUACUUCCAUUGGCAUCAUCUGGCAAUGAUUUUUCCAACAAAUUCCAUGCCUCAACGCCCCACAAAUCAUCCAACACUAGGAGAUACCUAUUUCUGAGCAAAGCUUGUUUUAGCUUUAGAGCCAGAUCACCUUCAUUCUCCUCUGGAUAUUGUUCGGGACUCCUAGAAUCAAUACUAUGCAAUAUCUGAACUAACAAGUUGUGUGUGCUAUAUAUUUGAGAAACAGUGCACCAAGCACGAAUAUGAAAGUGCAACUUUACUGAAGGAGAACUAUAAACCAUAUUGGCUAAUGUGGUCUUACCGAGCCCAGGCAUACCAACGAUGGGAACAACACCCAACUUCCUUGAUCCUCCAGUGAGUCUAUCAGUGAUAGUUUUCACCUCGUCAUCGAGACACACAAACUCUUCAUUUUUCGUGGCCGCAAUAACUUGUGAUGACACACAAGUGAAAGUCUCGGUAACUCUCUUGGUUUCGCCAUCAUAGCUUAUGCUACCAUAGAUCUCUUGGGCUUCAGUCUUCAUAAGAUUGAUAUCUGUAGCAACAUCAUCCAAACAACAUUCACGUUCAUCACCAACAAGUGUCCAGUCGAUCACUAACUCUGCUUUAUAUGCAGCCUCCAUAACACGACUCCAGAAAGCUUGGAUUUUUUUGCUCUGAUUGCACUGCUCCUUGAUUUUUUCCAGGAAAGAUCUUAAAAAUUCAAAAUCUUUUUGGAUUUUCUGGAUUUUAUCCACUGGAAAAGCAAUUGAACCAUUGAUUUCAUCACAACUUGCUAGUUUCUUUAGAUUUUUUAAAAAAAAAUCCAUAGAGCCCAACUCAUUGAUCCUAGGAAAACCAAAUCCCGAAACUGAUGUUAGUGGAUAGACCUGUGUAACUUCUGCCCUAAUAAGCUUGAGCACUUUGAGCAAAUGAAGAAGAGCAAGAUCUGUUUCGUUGGCCAAGCCUUCUUUGAUUAACUGAUUCACAGAAAGGGAGAAAAUUACGAUUGCUGCAUCACGGACCACAACUGCAAUAAGAGUCUUCAUUUCAUGGCGUAGCUCUUUGAACUUCUGCUGAUGCCUGAGAAGGAUUGUCAGGAAUCUUAACCCCUCAAGGAGUUUUAGCAUUCGUUUCAUAAUCGGAACCAGAAUACUGGUACAAGAUUGUACUAGCUCCGUGAUAAUGUGAACGAGACAAUCCAUGAAGUCAGCCACUAGAUGCUUAUUCUUCUCUAGAGUUGAAGUGUUUGAGGAACUUGAUAACUUUGAAGCAGUCAGGACAUGGAAAUAAGUUUGUCGGACUUGGGGACUACUUGGAUAAAUCUUCUCACGUAUCAGUCGAGAGAUUUGAAGUUCCAUUUCCUCGCAUAGCUUUUCAUCAUCUCCGUGAAACCAGCAUUUAUAAAUCAGGCGUAAUGCAUUGAAAGCUACCACUUCAGCGUGAAUCAAGAGAUCUAUCAAUUGCUGACCCUCGACACCGUGAAGCAUGGAAAAGCCAAUGAAACACUUCAAGAACAUUAGCUUCUCUUUAAGGGCUUUCACCAGAACAAUCAACGCUUUACGAAAUUUGUGCCUUCCGGAGAGAAGAUCCUCCAGAUUCUCUGAAACCGAAUCAAUGAAAUCAAUGACUGGUCCUGGAUCUCUCAGCCAGUAAUAGUCCAACAAAAAGUCAAUCCACGAUUCCUUGAUAUCUGUCUCGAAAAACAACUUGAUUGCUUUCCUAAAUAUGGUGAGCUCACUUGCGACCCAUAUCAAACGUUCUGGACCAAGAUACCUCUUGUCUUCGAUGCGAGCCGAUUCAAGAUCUACCAUUUUCCUGAUAAUCAGUUGUUGAAUUCUGAAAGAAGUAACAUCCUUCUCCUCCUCAUUUUGUUCCAAACAGGUUUCACGGUUCCUCCUCCUCCUCCUACACUUUGUGAGAUACAGAUCAAAGGUUUGUAGCAGUCUCACCUCGCCCUUCAGGUCCGAGAUAUUAUUAUGCGGCGAAUAAUAAUGUCUGGGGGCCUCAUACAACCAGCCUAGAUAAUCCAGAGCGGAAUGAAAGCAACUAGUGCUACUACUGGAAGGUAUCUCCAUUAUAGUAUCUUCUACUGAUUCUGAGAUCAGAUUGGUAUCUUGAAUAAUAAACUUAGUUCAAGGUUUACAACUUUCUGAUUAUCUGAGAAUAGUGAAAAAUAUAGUCGGCGAGAGUCUCUUCCUUCUGUUCUUGGUGCAACAUGCGAGACACUUCCAGUUGUCUUCUUGUGUUGGUGGAGACUUUAGGUCACUUCCCCAGGGCCUAUACGAGUCAGCUUUUGUCUACUUUCGGCCAAAGUGCCUUUCAUGUCCAAGUAAUGCACGUUUUUAGACCACAUAGAAACGAUACCAAUUCGAGGUAAAUAAAUCUAGAUAGAUGCUAAAGCAGUAAAUGGUCAUAAUACGUAGUGUUCAUUUUUUAUGUCUAAAAGAAAAUUGUAGAACAGGUUAUAAUACUAAAGCAGUAAUCAGUUAUAAUUUUAGCAAAAUGGAAACACUUUAGUGAAAGCUGCUCACGUUAAUUCCAUCAUUAUCCUUGUUAAUGCCAACUCUAUAAGAAGCUUGAAGGCACCUAAAACUCCAGACACGUUAAGGUAACAAUUCUUAGAAAUCUAGGAAUUGACUGUUCUUUGGACUCCGGUGUAGGGCUCGGGGAAAAAAAAACCAUAGCAAUUAGAUCGCAUAAAGCCAUCAGCAAGACUAAAUUGCUAAAAUCAUCUAUGGGACAGGAGCUUGCCUGGUAAACUGACAGCCAUAACAAUGAAAAUUCACCGUGGUUAACAAUGAAAUAUUAUCCCAAUCAGGGACGGAUCCAGGAUUUUAGUUUACGGUAGCAAACCAUCAAAGAUAUAAUAGCAAAAAAUAUAUCAUAUUAAAUAAAGCAUCCUAAGUGUAAAAUAAAAGUCCAAUAGACGAUAACUAAGAAUACUUUUCUUUUUUUUUCUAAUUAAGGCUAAAGUAUAAAGGAAAAUGUGAAAAUUAGGCUCUGUAUCAUUCUAUUUACUAUCAAUGCUAGGCAGUCAAAACUAUAUUCGAAACUUCUUUAAUUUGUAGAAUAGUUAAAUAUUCUUUUGUUUGCCUUUGAUUUCCUAUGCACAUAACAUAGUAUUAGCUUACUUACUAAUUUCAAGUUAUAGUAACCGAGGAAACUAAGAAUUGGCUUGUUAUGAGACACUAGCUUAAAAGAAAAAAUUAAUGUUUCUUUAAUUGCUAUUUAAAAGUAACAAUAUACUUUUAUGAGGAAACGACUGGUUAAUUUGGUAUAGGACACUUCUAAAAAGAAAUUGAGGAAAAUAAAUAAAUUAAAUACUAAUAAUCAUAUUUAGGGGGACAAUUGAUUCAAUUUUAUUUAAUACCAACUACUCCCUUCGUUCCAAAAUUUAUUUUUGUCGUACUUUCUAUUUUGGGAUGUCCCAAAAUGUUUGUCUUGUUUAAAAAGUUAAAGCUCCUUUUGGUAUUUCUUUUUCAAUAUUGUCCCUGCUUUUUAAUCAAAAGCCUGUUACAUUCAAAUUCAAAAUUUGAAUUUUGAGGGAUAAGAUUGGAAAAAAUGUUCAAACAUCACAAUCAAAACGCUAUUAUUGAUAAAUGUUGGAUGCCUAAAACUCGACCAAAAUUUUGGGAUGAAAGGAGUAAUCAUGCUAUUGAGGCUUUUAGAAUUUUGAAAACUUUUAAGGCGCCCCUUCUAUAAUUGAUUCCAACAUAGAAUUUUCCAGCUGAACACAUGAAAAUUGAAGAAAUUAAGCAUCGCUUAUAAAAAUUUAUUUGCCCACCAUCUUAAAUAGUAAUCCACACUUCAAGCUUCUAAAGUUUCCAGAUAUAUUACCCACUUUUUACCUUUCUUUCCAUAGUUUACUUAAGUAAAAUAAUUUGAAGAUGACAAGAAACAAAAGGCCCCCAGUGGUAAACCAUCCGAGCCACCUCUCCCAAAAUGGAAAAUAUGAUGUGGACUGUCAAUCCGCAAAGCUGGCAGCAAGAACAUUUUUUUAAGUUUUUUGACGGCUCGUGAAAACCAGCUCCGCGCAUCACUAAAUACAAAAAAUAGGUCCCUGGAUUGCCAACUAAGUGAUAGGCCUGGGCCGCUGAGAACCCGCCUGGACUUGUCAAAGAUCGAACCAACUUUGUCCACACUGCCACCAAGAGGAGGACUUGAAUAGUAAAAUUUGGUAAAAAAAAAAAAAGAAUGGUAAAAUUUGGGAAAAUAAAACUUAAAUCGUCAGAAAUGCCCUUCUAUAGUCAUGCUUGUUAAUUUACUGCAAAUUUCGUAUUGAAAUAAAAGGUUGCGAAACAAAGACAAGCAACAAUAAAAAUACUUUCAAAUUAUUGCUGCCAAAUUUCAAUUUAUUCAAUAAAACUAAUAUUUUUUUUUGGCUUUAUCAAGCUACAAAACUAUUUUUAUUUUAAGGUGUGCAAGCAAAUAUUUACAGUGAAAAAGAAAAUGAAUAAAUCUCAGCUAUUAGAAAAGUACAUAUAUUGCGGUUAGAGCUGCAUAUAUCAUCUUUGUUUUUGACAUAUGCUGCCAAUAGAAUUUAUGCCUAAAUUGGCACCAAAUUUAUAUGGCUGUCUUGUUACCAAUGAUGCUUAGAUUUUUUUUUUUUUUUUUUUUAAGAUUGUAGGUCAAAUUUAACUUUUUCGAAAGAAUUUCAUACUCAUCAUUGCUUAAUUUAGAACUAAUUAUGUGAUGGCCCCUAUUUGUUAAUAAUGAUGCUAGAUUUUUUUUUCCUAUUUUUGGAUUAUAGAAAAAAAGGGCCAACACUUUUUCUGUCAAAAUAUUUUGACAAUAACCAUAAGCAAUGAUGGUAGAAUAGUCAAUUGACCAUUGGUAUGCCCUUUAUUGGGUUCCAUCUAGCUAAUUGGGUCUUACCAAACAAAAAAAAACCUAGCUAAUUGAGGAGAAAAGUGAUAAUUUUAAAAAUUUAGAGAAGCUCAGUGAUAUUGUUAUAAACUUGAUGGGAGGUUCAUAAAAUUAUCCCUAUCUAGAAGUACUCCCUUAACAUUUUUGUGAUUGCCUAAAAAUCCGUAUCUAAUAUUUCUUGGACAGUCUAAAAUAGGAGGAGUUCAAGAUGAGCCCAAUCCGUCAUGUAUACGCAGCCAUGGGACCUCCCUACCGAAGUCUAACUCAUUGAACCAAUCAGGCCAAGUUAACUGAUUCCCAUUUUUCUUUCUUUGUUAGUAUUCCUAUGAAAGUAAAGAAAAUAUAAAAACAAUAUAUUUUUGUUGAGAAUAUAUGAAAUAUGGAUUGGAGUUUGUUGUUAUUUAAACCAACUCCACUUGAGUACCAAUUUUCUUUGGCGAUCUUGUCACUAUGAUGCUCAAAUUAUUUCUUUUCUUUUUUUUUUAAGAUUGUAAGUCAGAUUUAACUUUUUUUUUUUUUUGGAAGUAUUGUCAUAAUAAUUGGUGCCUAAGUUAGAAAUGAACAUGUGAUUGCCCAUGUUCAUUAACAAUUCACGAGUGAUAAAAUUUACAAAUUUUAGUUGGUUGCGUAUUAACAUUAGGCCUCCCUAAGGAGUUAUAUGGCUUGAAAAGAAGAAAGAAAAGAAUGAACACUAGAGGAACCAGAAAAUUGAGAUGAAAAAUGGCAAUAGUGAAAAAUAGGAAUAAUGAGAAUGAUAAGACUGAAAAAGAAAUGGACAUGAUUUAUUUUCCACAGGUUACUUGGAGUCUACGUGGCAGUAGCUAUUAAAAAGGGAAUAAAAUUUACAAAUGAAUCAUUUUGGGUUAUUAUUUUUUGAUAAGAAGCUUAUUUUGGCAAAAAACUCAGAAUUUUGAUUAUUGCAAAUUAAAUUCCAAAGACAGACACUAAGCUGACCUCACUCACUAAUAAGAGCAUAUAAACACAAUGAAAUGGGAUUAAUGCAAUAGCAACAAAAUGGCACUUUGCAAAGAUUGCCAAAAUAGGGAGAGGGAAAAUCAACAAUAAUCGUUUGCACUUGGGUAAAGUACACCAUCUGAAAUGGAGCAUCAUAGAAUAGAUUAUCCAAAUGAAUGGAUUAUGAAUUUGGACCAUCUUUUUUUAGUGUGCUUAUCGAAACCUUUUUUGGGAUACAAUUUUGUUAGGAUACUUUGAUGAGUAAGAACACAGGAGUUGUAUUCUAGUUAUCUAGCUUGAGUCUUGCCCGUCUGAUCGGGACUGUAUGUUUAGAAGAAUAGAUUAUGUUAAGUUGUACACAAAAUGAUAAGGCAUGUUCUUAAAUGGUUUUGAACGCUUGAUUUCAGUUUCUGAUCAAAUGAUUUUGAACACUUGAUCUUUGUGUCCCUAUCGAAACCCUUUUUGAUUAGUUGUGUGACAUUAGCCGUGGAAUCAUGAAAAGUAACAGCAAAAUGUAGGAAAAGUAUAAAAGAAACCACAAAAAAUAACAGCAAAAUGUUUAGAUAGCUAAAUUGAAGAACAAGGGAGGUUAGAAAUAAAGAAGUUAAGAUGUGCUGAAAUAUAGUUGGGACUGUUGGAGAUGAUAAUGAUAGAUAAUGAAUAGUCCAUAUUCCACACGGUUUAUGGACUAGACCACAGCAGUGAAGGCGGGUCACCUUCAAUCAACACUAUCACAGCUACAGAUGGACUGAGUUGCUCAGAUCAAGACCUGUUCAAUUUACACUACCAAACAGAAAACUCAAAAAAUGAUUAUAGAAU